rnacentral:lncRNA from 1 species
GAAGAGAAGAAAAAGAAAAAAGAAAUAGAUAGAAAUAAAUAUAAUAAAUAUUCCGUAAUAAUUAAUUUCGUUUUUUCUAAAAGUGAAAGAAAGAGAAAGAAUUUUUUUUUCCUUUUUUCUUAAAUCCAAACUAUUGGUUUAGAAACAAUAUCGAAUUGAUAUGUUUCAAUCGAUUUGAUCAUGACCCAGCUUAUAUAGUGUUUUGGUUCUACUCUUUGAACCAACCAGAUAGGUCAAAAAAAAAAAGAAAAAAUUGAAUUAUUUGAAUCAGCGAUUCAACUAUCAAACCAGUGAGCCGGUCCUAUUUUAAUCAAACAGGCGGAUUUUAUUGAUCAAGUUGUACUAAAAUUUAGCAGUUUAAAAUCAAUUUAACUAUUUUUUUUUUUCAAUUAGCAUAAAUUAGUUUUAUAAAAUGUUAAAUUUGAAAACUUAAAUCAUCUAAACUUAGUCUAAAAAUUAGUAUUUUAUAAUUAAGCAUUGUUGCCAUAUGGUGUGUCCACAUUGGCGGGUUAUGAUUUGACCCGAUCCACAUAAGUUAUGGAUCAUGAUUCAUCCUAACAAGUUUAGGAUAAGUAUAAAUUAUAUGUUUCUUAUCAGUUAAGAAACAUAUCUUAUAAUGGAUAUUUAUUAUAUGUUAAUAAAUAUCCCAAUCCUUAUCCUAAUCUAUAGGAGAUUCAGGAUAUUUAGGGGUUCCGUUAUUUUAUAUAUAUGCCCCCGUUUUCUCCCGUAAAAGAGACGAUCAAAUACGAUCUAAUUCGAGAAUCCACAAAAUCUUCCUUCUUCUCUCUCCUCUUCCUCUCUGGGAUUUCCACCUACGUUCCCGGGGUUUUAGGGUGUGGACAUAGGAGGGGACUCUGGUAGCCCUCUCCGAUUGGCAUCCGUGACAUAAGGCGAUCCGUUCCGUGACGUAAGGCGUACGCGUGGAAGAAGACGAGAAACGUGGGAGAUCCAGAAGCAUCGAGAUAAGGACGAUCCAAGAAGGCUUGUAAAACAAGCAACCCGAUCCGAUUCCGGUUCCCGGAUACGUUGGCUAUCCGGUUUGUAAGUUUCCGCUGCCUAUUAUUUCCAACAAGCAUGAUACUAAAUAAUAAUAUACAUAUUUUUUAUAUACAAUAAAAUUAAAAAUAAUAAUUAAAUAUUAGUUCAAUCAGUUAUUGACCUACUGGUUGAAUCAAUGACUGUUGACCCAGUAAUAUUUUUGAAUCGCUACUCUAUCCAAUUUUUAAAGCAUUGGUGCAAAGUGCAACAAAAAAAAAAACAUUUAUUUAAUCCAAAUUAAAGAACAGAAAUAACUUCUUUGUAUUGAAUAGAUUUUUUUUUUUUUUUUUUUUUUUUUUUUUCACUUUUCCGGUUGCGAGUGGCCGAGUGGGGGCGUAUUUCAUCGAGAAAGAAAAGAGCCGAAAGGGUGUUUGUACUUCGUACUUUUCAAGAUUUCAAAAAAACAAAAGAAAGAAAGACAAGAAACAGGGCGAAAUGUCUAGACCCUAAAUGCUGCAGGCACCCACGACACAAGCUGUGGGCAGCGGCAGCAGCUUGUUUUGACUAAUCACACACAAUCAGCUUUUCUCUUCUGGCGUACUGCCUUGGACUGCCCAAGAUCUACCAAAUCUUCUCAUCUUUGUUUUCUGUUUCCUCUUUAAUUUGUUUCGCUAAGCUUAUCUUAGGCAAUCAAUUAAUUAAGCACACAUUGUUACAAACAAACCUUCAAUAAUUAAGAAGCUCACCAACAAGUAAUUAAGGAGGGGAUUAUGAGCAGUCCAUGGACCACACUUAUAGCUUGCUUUGAAAACUGCACAAAUCUGCAUUUCUCACUUAGGAACUCCCUGCGUUAAAAAUAAAUAUAUUUCAAACAGUCUAGUUAGUGUUGAAUAUGAAUAUUAAAAAUAUCGUUCUAUGUCAGUUUAAGUUAGUAAAAAAAAUAAUUAUUUCAUAUAAUUUAAUAUGGUAUCAAAGCAGAAUGUUCUGAAUUCUAGUGUCAUCAGUCUUCUAGCGUUAAUUAUUUAUUUUUUAUUUAAAUAUUGUUCUUUGGUAGCUUAUGUUUUUUUUAGGCUCCGACUGUCUCUUUUAUGUAGCCAAAUUUAUAUUUUUUCACUAAGUUAAACAGAUAACACUGCUAUUUUUCUAUAAAAUAUAUAUAUGUACUGAUCAUCAUUCCUUAGUGCGAUUGAUUUUCUCCAAAUUUUUGGAUUGGAAAUAUGGCAAGCGCAGUACGUACUUAACUGCUUAACGAAAGGUUAAAACUUCAUGCACGUACCAGAUCGAUGACCAAAAUGCUUUUCACUUCUUCAUGUUACAGUACAUGGAGGUCGCUAGAUGUGCCAUGUAGCUAGAGCAAAGCUGUGAGGCACAAAGUAGGGCUACAACGUAGUAGGUAAAGGCGUUGUGGGGUACACUUCUCCUUAAUUAACUGGGGUCUAACACUGCGCAGGUUCCUGCGUCCACACGCACUGUCAAAUCCAUGCCCACCAAGCCACCAUAAAACGAGAAAAAAAUAAAAAUAAAAACCCAGUGCAAACUCUUUUGCCCUUAACGGUUCAAAAGAGAAUAAAACUUUCUAUAUAAUUAAGCACUUGCCAAACACAAACAACCCCCCUCCCCCCCUUCUCUUGUGAAAGGAAGUUCCCACAGUCCAAUAGCUAGCAUCUUCUCCUUCCCCUUCUAACUCAGUGUGAUCUCCACCACCCUUGCUCAAAAAGAGAAAUUAUGCUUUGGGUGUUCGUAUAAAGGGGAGUGGUGGAAUUCCACUAAGUUCUUUUCUUUUUUAGGGGAAAGAGAACUACUAGGACUAAUUUGUUGCUUGCACUCUACGGCGUUUUUUUGGUAACAAUCAAUCAUCUGGGGUCUAGCAUGUGGGAAUGAGGCUAGUUGAACUGUGCAGCCAAGGAUGACUUGCCGGUAACUUCAUGAAAUGGGUUUGGAUAUAUGCAGUACGAAAAACCGGCGAGUUAUUUUUGGCUACAUAUUUGCCUCGUUUUUUCAUGCUGGAUCAAAGAUGAUAUAUAUAUAUAUAUAUCUGGAUCUGCAUCGGUUGUGAAGAAGAUUGAAUGCACGUGGCAUUGGUGAUCUAUAGACAUGCAUACAAAUGCGCCCUCUCAUUGCGUGUGAGAAAAGCACAGGUACGCUAUAUAUAUAUAUAUAUAUAUAUAUAUAUAUAUAUAUUGGUGCUGUAUUGGAUCGAAGAUACUAAUUAAUUGUGUGCUUAGUUGGCUUUGGUGGCAUAUAAAGUCUCCCUCCGUUUUGUACACUACUUAUACACAAGCAAAAUCGUGUUAGAGUACAAAUAUUUGUGCUCUUCUAAUGUUAGAUCAGUAACUUAAACUCCAAACGCUCUCUUUCAAAUCUCUUAAUUAAUUUCACUCUUUUUUUAUCUCUCUAGCUACUUCCUCCCCAGUGCACUUUGCCUUUCAACGCCGUACUCUAAUAGCUUAAAUUUUUAAAGAAUAAUUAUUAUUUCGUAUAAUUUAAAAAAUUGGUGUGCUCUUCUCUUUGUGCACGCAUAUUAGGUGCACUUUCUAAUUUGCGCACAUUGUACUAUACUGUAAUCAUUGGUGCACAUUUAACACGACAAUCCAACGCAACCUAUAUCUACUGCCUAAAGCACACAUGUUAAGUGUGCAUCUUAACUAAAGAGAAUUAGAGAAACGCACUUCUUUUCUCCUUUCCUUUUAUAAUCGACAAAACUCCACCUACCCUACGUACAAUUAACCAAACACAUAAAUAUGCGAAACAUAAAAAAAGAAGUCAAUUCGACAAUAUAAAGAACAUAUCAUAUAAUUUUGAUUAUUUUUCGAGAAAAAUCAAUAUCUUCUCAUAGAAAAAAAAAAAAGUAAAAGAAAAAAAAAAGGCGGAGGACGUGUUGUCCAAGUUGUCUAUUCAAAAUUUUAAGACGGCGCGGAUGAAUAUUUUCACAAAAAACAUAUAUGCAUGCAAUAGGCCAGGUUAAUUGUGAGUUAGCUAGCUAGGCAUGCUCAUUCUUUUUGAGCACCCUCUAAUUAAAUCCGCUCUUUCAUGCGGAUUUAAGUGAAUUUUUUUUAAAAGAUUUCGCAUAUGAAAUGAAUUAUGACUCAUCAAAUUCUCUGAUAAAUAUUUGUUGAGAAGCUUUCCCAAUAAAGCUGCGCUCCAUAUUUAUGAGUGAAUUGAAAUAUAAAGUAAAGUAUGUGGGGCCCGGGUAGACCCAGCAAUGUCGAUCCAAAUCCGCGGGUGUCUGUCGGUUACCCGCAAAUUUGCGGGUAUGGAUACCAACUUUUUCAACCCAAAAAAUUAUGAGUAAAACGGGUGGGUACCAAUUAAGUUGUGGGCAUUUUGGAUAACUCGCGGGUACCCACACAUAUAUAUUUUAAUUAUAAAAUAUAUCUUUUAAAAUAAAUUUAUUUAUUCAUCCUAAAAAUUCUAACUUUAAUUUUUUACCGCGUUACUUUUUUGUGAAAUUUUUUUACUUUAAGAUUUUAAAUAUUUUUAUUAUAUAUUAUGAUACUUUAAAUAAUCAGUUAUAAUAUACUUUUAAUAUAUNAUAUAUAUAUAUAUAUAUAUGUUUUGUACUUAUUUAAAAAUAUAAGAACAAAAAAGAAAAAAAAAUUACGGGUAAUCCGCAUACCCACCCGCCCACCCACGGGCGGGCAUGAGUAAAAAUGUUGGCUACUCAAAAAUUUAUGGAUAAAUUUCAUCCAUGCCCAAAUAACCCAGAGUACAAUGACCCGUUCGUAAGUUACCCAAUUCAUCCGUUUGCCAGAUCUAUGUGGGGUUGAAUGUGUUUGCUAGUUUGGCAGGAGCCGUGCAUGUAAACAUGUGGUACGUACAAUUAUUGGACAAAUAGACAUUUCUAGAAUUGGCAACGUAGGCACAAUAUUCUCCCUACUUUCUCAAACACUUAUUAUUAAUAAUUUAAAAUUUCUGAAUUAUAUGAAUAUUUUGUUUAAUUGGAAUUAUUCAUAAUUUAAAAUUAUACAAGAGUAUUUAAUUAAUAAAUCGUGAACUUCUUAUUUUUAUUUUGACAUAACGGAAAUUUAAUGAUUCCAAUACGGUGCACAGUGUGCAUUUUUCACUAAUUAAUUACUCUUCUAGAAGUUCCAACUUCAAAGUAAACCCUUUUUCUCAUGUGUAGUGUUCACGUUAAUUUUAAUUGCACUCCGAAUCACGGCGACCCCUCUUGUUAUUUUUUAUAUAUAUAUAUUUUAUUCAUUAUGCGACCGCUGUCAACAAAUACGGCGUCCAAACGUGUCAGUUAGGAUAGCAUCUGAUCUGACCACAAUCCUUAACCUCCACUAUUCAUAAUAUAUUUAUUUUUAAACCAGUUUGUCUAAAAGAUACAUAUUCUUUUUUUGUAUUUUUUAUUUUUCUAACUCCAUUUAGGUAUAAUUUUAUUUACAAAUAUAGUAUAUAUUACUGAUAUUAAAUAUAUAUUUAUAUCAACGCCUAAUUUCAAAAUAUAAAAUUUUCUAAAGCAAAAAAAGUAAAUUCGUAAUAUGCUUUUUUUUUAGAUUAGUUCGUCCAAAAGAUACACAUCCUCUUUUUGUGUUUUUUUUACUUCUUAUUCUUCUAACUCUAUUUAGGUCAUUUUUGUCGGCCAAUACAAGCAAUGUCAAGUAUUGAAAAUAUUAUGAUAAAAUAAAAGAUAGGUACUUAAUUCAUAAUUCUUUAAUUGAUUGAUUUUAUGAUGUUCUUCUAGAACUUAUAAACAUAUAUUUAAUUUCGUAAAAAAAUUUUAAUUUAAAAAAAUUAAGUACCAAAUAAUUCUCAAAAGUCUAAAAAUAUUGGAGAAAUUAUAUAUAAUUUUUCUGAAAUUAGGACUUACAAUUUUAUAUUUAUCCGCAUUAAAAAAAUAAAAAUAAAAUAACCAAACUCUAACAAUAAAAGACCUCUAAUCACCGAAAGUUCCUGAAGCAAGUGGUAAAGAAUUUAUGAUUGAUAUGGAAAUUUCAAAUACCAAAUUUAAUUACUUUAUAUUUCUAAUGCUAUCUCUCUCUUAAAAAAAAAAAAAAAAAAAAAAAAAAAAAAAAAAAAAGCGCUCCAAUCCUCCCAACUAAUUUCCCAACUACUUUAAACACGGUCGAUAUUAUUAUAAAAAUAAAACUCCAACAACCCAAUACAAAAAGCAAGCAAGCAAGCAAGCAAGCAAGGAACAGCGUUGUCGCGGGAUUCGAUCGAUUCUGAUAAUCUCCGCGGUGGCGAUGGGGAGAGGGGUGUUCGAUCUGGAGAAGCACUUCGCCUUCUACGGGGCGUACCACAGCGACCCCACGAACGUGCUCAUACACGUGCUGUUCGUGUGGCCCAUCUUCUACACAUCCCUCGUCCUCUUCCAAUUCACCCCUCCCCUCCUCCACCUCCCCCUCCUCGGCGUCCUCAACCUCGCCUUCGUCUUCGCCCUCACCUACGCCCUCUUCUACGUGCUCAUGGACCCCAAAGCAGGCUCCCUCGGGGCCCUUCUCUGCUUCCUUUGUUGGAUCGGGAGCGACCUCCUCGCUCAUCGAUUAGGGUUUUCGCUCGGCUGGAAGGUGCGUUUUCUUGUCUUGAUCUUCUCCUGAUUCGCUGUUUCUCGUGUCGAUUCGCUGGUAGAUCACUGGAUAUUCAAUCUUGAUGCUAGUUAUUUCUUUAUCUGCGGAUUCACAUGGAAUCAAUUCCGUGCGUAGUGUUUACUAUGAUUCGAUUUUGGUUAGGGUGAAAGUGUACCGAAACCUUUUUUUAUCUUGCUUCAAUUUAAUUUGAAACCGACCCUUUAAUAUGUCUUGACCUGAGUUGAUCUGAGUGAUUCCGAUUAAUUUGAGUAUAAAUUUUGUUAAAUUAAUAAUGUUUUGAUCAACUUUCGCGCUUCAGGCUACUGAUCAGCUGAAGAAAUUGUGAGUUGUUUACAAGACAAAUAAAUUAGUUAAUCCCAAUGGAAUUGAAUUUAAUUGACUAAAUAAUUCAAAUCAAAACAAAUCAGUUGACCAGGUGGCAAUCUGAAAAAUAGAAGUCGAGGAGCCUUAUUCACACCUGUUAGUUGUUAUCUCUAUAUUCUUUUUCUUUUCUUUUUUUUCAGGAUUGUCCUCGGGUUUUAUUAUUUGGAUCAUGCAAUUUUCUUCAGCAUUUGUUGUCUUAAGUUGGUCUUAUAAUAAGGAAUUUGGGUUUGCUUCAAGUCCUAUAAUCAUGUGUUAUGCAAUAAUUGUGACAAUUGGAGAAUCUUAGCCCGUCGCAAUCCAUCUUAGAUAACCAAAAAACACUAAUUGAUUAGCAUGACUUUGGAAUCUCCUUCAACCUUGUAUUCUUCUGCAUCUUGUUCUUAUCUUUCUCUCAUCGCUUAAUUCUUUGUGUGUGAGAAUCUCUUACAUUGUUUAUGAUGUCUGUUGUGCUAUUCUUUAGUACCUCCUCUGCCCCAAUCUUUUUUGGACUUACACAGGGUUAGUUGUAUACAAGUACUAAGCACAUUAUUUGUCUUCUUCGAUCUGUAUUUUGUAUUCACUGUAUUUGCUUAGGCUUAGGCUCUUUGUAUGAUCAUAAUGUUUUAGGAUUCGUGUAUCUGCUUACAAUAUUAGUAAUCCCACAUUAUUCAGCAAUUGUCUUUUUCUCCUCCUUGUUCGGGCAUAUUAUUUUUGGGAUUUUAGAGUUGGCUCAUAUAAUAUGUAAAUGCUGGGAAUCAUUCUAGUCGUUUGUCCUUGCCUUUCACUUUGUUUCCUGUUUGAUAGUAUUUGUUUAGUAAUCAUGAUAACUAGUUGAAUUUUGAUUUAUCAAAAAUUCUCUGUUUGAUAGCAUGGCGAUGUUUAAUUUAUCUUUAAGCUCAGGUGACCGGUGACAGAGAACUGGUUAUAUGGGAAGCUAGUGCAAAUUCUCUAUUUGUUUCUUUUAGUUUUCUAUAUGUAAGCCAUAGCUAAAAGUUGAUUGCUUCUAUUGGAUUUAGUUAGCUAUACUCUUCAUAUGUAGGCCAGGGUUGUUUUUCAUCAAUCUUAUCACCUUAAUAGUAUUUUAUAAAAGAACUAGGCAUUAAAUGACUUAGCUCUUUGCUUUACUCUCUGGGGGAUUGUGUAGUGCAUGUGAUUCGAUGGUGUAGCAAAUUUGCAGAGCUUCAGCAUGCAUGAAAUCUGCUUCAAUCUGAAUAUUGAUUUCUUAAAUUAGUUUUAUAAGACAAAAGAAGGCACUUUACAAGUUUAGUUGCUUACGCUUCCUUGUGACCGAAGAAUGUUCUAUUCCUCUUCCAGUUUACUAUCUGCACGCAAUUAAAACAUGUCUUUGACGAGGAUCUCAUUCAAGAAACUCACGGUUCUAACCUUAAAGGCAUGAAAUAGGCAAGAUGUGAGUAAAAUGAUAAGACUGAAUGCCAUCUUUUACAGUCAGGAUUUGAGAUAUCUAACCAACCUCAUAAUAUAGGAAUCUAUAUUCCAUUCUUGUGUAAAAGUCUCACUCUGAAAGAAAAAUCAAGUCCAUGAUAAAUUCAAGCAUAUAGUUGGAACCUGUAGGUUCCAUCUUUGAUGGAUAACAUUAUUAUUGCAAAACUACCACUAAAAUUUGUGACCACAAUAUUCCAAUUGAUGAGAACUUGUAAAUUUCGGGAGAUUACAUUUAAUGGGCAAAGGCUCUGCAUUACCAUACCAUCGAAAGUAUGUGGUUCAUUCACAACAUUAUUGAGUGGGUUGUUACAUGGAGAAGCUCCUUUAGUUGAAACAUCAGGGAUUCAAGCAGUUUUGCAUUCUCGUAUAUUCAAUUAAGUAUAGCUUAAAGGAAAACAUUUUUCCAUCUUGUAGCAAUUGUACUGAAAGGCAGAGUUGAGUUGGGUCUUCUAGCCUUUUGUUGCUUUGGUUUGGUUGUCAUAUUUUUAUAAAAUCUUGGUACUUGUGUUUAGCUGAGCUGUUGGGCACUGGAAAAUUAAAUCUGAUUAAUGAGUGGUCCAAUCAUGCAAAUUAGCUAGAUUAUGCAUCAGUUUGUGGAUCAGAACUUGCAGUUCUAGAAACCACUUGUUCUUUCCAUUUCUGUGCAUGAUCUUAGUAUUUUAUUGACUCCAAGACGUUAGGCUAUGUAAACAUUAAGUGCAAUGUUUUACUAGCUGUCACAAGACUUGUUUGUGAGUUCAAGCAUAAGAAUGAACUCUCAUUGUUCGGUUGUUGCAACUUUUCUACAGGUAGUAUUGGCUGCUCAAAUAUUUUGUUGGACUGGGCAAUUCAUAGGGCAUGGAGUAUUUGAGGUAAGCUUCUCUUAUGAUCAGGAUUUGGGCACAAGCUAAUAGAAAUCUCAUUCUUCUAUACACUAACCGAGAGUCAAUAAUAUCCAUGUGUUUCUGCAGAAGCGAGCCCCGGCUCUUCUUGACAACCUUUCUCAAGCUUUUUUGAUGGCCCCAUUCUUUGUUCUCCUAGAGGUAAGCAUGCCCAAUACUAAAGUGUUUGUUAGAGCCAAAGUGAAGAGUCUCACUGACUACUUAAUUGAUCCAGAUACUUCAAAAGCUCUUUGGUUACGAACCAUAUCCUGGUUUUCAUGCCAAUGUCAGUAAGAGGAUUGAAGCUGAUCGCAAGGAAUGGCAAGAAAAAAAGCAAAAGAAGAACUCCUAAGUUAUCAAUUGCGGCUCAUGCUACCAUGGUUACUUUCUGUUUUUGUUUGCAACAACCUUAUGUCACUAAACCAAGAAAAAAAAAGGAAGAAACGAAAAAGAUCAUCUUGUGAUUUGAGGACAUUUUAUUCUACGUAUUGAAGCACAGACUUACUGUUGUGUCUUUAAUAAUAUCAUAGACUCGUAGUGUAUAUUUAUGUUUAUAUACAUACAAAUCAUGUAAUGCCCAAAACUGAUGUAAAUAACUGUCUUAAUUAUUGUGUUUAUCUGCUUGGCAAUAAAUAACAGUGAUGUUACCUAAUGUAUCGAAAGAAAAAUCCCCUUGUGAGGGAGCAAGUGCUUGUUUGGUUUAGCUUUUGGAGUAGUUUCUCCUUUAUAAAACACAACAGCUAGAUUGUGUUACGGUGAGAAGUUAAAAUGAGUAUUUGAGUUCCGAAAGUAGAAAUUUUCUUGAAACCUCUGCUUUUAUUAUGGUAGAAAGCUAUUCAAGCUAAUUUAUCUCAAAAAAAUGGAAAAAUUGUUAUUGCCUUUUCACAUAGCUCUAUUUAUAGAAGUUCCAACCACGCUAAAUGGGACCUUAGUUGGAGAGUGUUAUUGCCUUUUCACAUAGCUCUAUUUAUAGAAGUUCCAACCACGCUAAAUGGGACCUUAGUUGGAGAGUGUUAUUGCCUUUUCACAUAGCUCUAUUUAUAAAAGUUCCAACCACGCUAAGUGGGACCUUAGUUGGAGAAGGAAAUGAAUCUCUUACGCUGUUUCUAAUGCUCUGCGCGGGAAAGCACACCCAUACCAGGCUCAGGCUUCUGAACUCCUCUUCCUCUCAUCACUUCUCUUACAUGCAACAUAUCAUUCCAUCUUCCGGCUCCAGCAUACAUGUGCGAGAGAAGAACAUAGUCGCUGCUGUGAUCAGGCUCCAACUCUCUGAGAUGCUCAAGAACUCGCUCGCCGAGUUCAAUGUUCCCGUGAACUCGGCACGCCCCCAACAACGUCCUCCACACCACCGCAUUCCCCUCCAUCGGCAUGCUCCUUACAAGCUCAUAUGCUUCUUGGAGAAGCCCGGCUUUUCCAAGAAGAUCGACCAUGCACCCAUAAUGCUUCAUGUUAGGAGUCACGCCAUAGUCCCUCCUCAUCAUGUCGAAGUACCUCCGCCCUUCUUCCACAAGCCCUCCGUGGCUACAGCUGCAAAGAACUCCUAAGAACAUACUGUCGUUCGGCUCUUCGAAUUCGCACUCUUCAAGCAUCUUAUUAAAAAACAAUAAUGCCUUGUUGACAUGCCCAUGCAGCGCAAGUCCUAGUAUCAUCGAGUUCCACGAGAUGAUGUUCCUGCUCGCCAUAUUGUCGAACACUCGAAGCGCACUUUCGAUGGCUCCGCACUUUGCGUACAUAUCAAUUAAAGAGUUGGAAACAGAUACAGUUUGGUGGAUUGUGUUGGAAUGAACCCAUCUUCCAAAAUCCAGAGCGCCCAAUUCCAAACACGCCGGGAGAGUCACAACCAACGUAGCCUCAUCGGGAUUGAAACCAUCUCUCCUCAUCCUAAGAAACAUCCUCAACGCCUCCUUGUACUCGCCGCAGCUCAUGUACACAUCGACGAGUGUAUUCCACGAGACCAAGUCCCUACUAGUAAUUUCUUCAAACACCUGACUCGCAGCGCUAACCUCCCUAAACAAUCCAUACAUAUGGAUCAGUGUGUUGCAAACAUAUACAUUCGACUCCAAUCCAUGCUUCACAAUGCAGCAAUGGAUCUGCCUACCCAAUUCAACCGCCGUCAUGUGCCCGCAAAUCUUGAAAAGGAAUGCGAAGGUGAAGUUAUCGGCGGCUUUACCGCGCUCUCGCAUUCUUUUAAAGAACAACAACGCAUCCUCGUCUCUACCGACUCUCCCCAAUCCUCUAAUCAUGGUGCUGUACAAGAACCCAUCCGGCCAAUUCAAUUGUUCGAACACGAGAGACGCGUAAUCCAUCGAUCCGUUCUCCGACACGCAGCAGAACGAGAUUAAUCUACCGAUCACGUACACGUGUUGCUCGAGACCGGCGGAGAUGAUCUGGGCGUGGAUCUGAGAGAGUUCUCUCAUGGUGGAGCACGAUUUGAAAAAGGAAAUUAGAGUUUCCUCCCUGGAGUCGUGGGAGUUUUCGUUGAGGCAUUUCGUCGAACAAGUUGGGGGAUGCUGGUGGAGGACGAAGGGAAGGGACGAUGAAUAUGCCUCUGAUGAAUCUAAAGGAGAGAUUGUUGAAGGAGAUGGAGAGGAGCAUAACCUGGAGGAGUUGUAUGCUUUUAAGUGCUUUGGAUUCUAUCACGAUGCUUUGAAGGAGAUGAUGCCACACGAGGCGUCGAGGUAAUGCGUUCGAGUUUCGACCCUUCUCCGUUGCGUUUCCGCAUAAACAUAUCCGGUGCGGUUGGCGCAGUUUUAAGCCACGCCCGCAUAGCCAUUGAGGUCCAAAAUGGUCGGGCCCGAUUUACUUUUGAUUAAGCCCAAGAUGUAGCAGCCCAAAAUUAACUUUUUGGGCUUUGGUUAUCUGAAAUUUCAGUUCUUUGGCAGUAAAAAUGUAAAAAAAAAAAAAAAAUCUCUUAUUAAUGCCAGCAGUGUUCUAUUGAAGUUAGCCUCAAAUCAAUGAAACUGUCAUUAUUGUGACAGUUCACACCACGGACUCAAGCUGCGGAGUUGCCACCACAACAUAUUAAUUCAAUAUAAAAGACUUGCCCGUAAAAUCUCUUACUUAUUUUAUUAGUUUUUUUUUUAAGAAAAAGAUAACAUGCUAUUUAUUUCGUUUAUAUUUAAAAAAAAAACACUAGUGGACAACAAGAUUGGUCCACUACAAUAAACCCUUUUUUCAUAUUUUUUUGCCACGUCUCAUUUGAGGUCUUUUGUUACCUCACUCAUGUAGUCUAAUUCAUCAUUCUAAUGAAUGAAACGGACAACACGCUAUCUUUUUCUAAAAAAAGUAAAAUAAAUUUAGUUAAACAUAUGAACUAAUUAGGUUUCGAAUUUGAGAUUUCAAAUACCAACCGCCAAAUCUUUUACCAAUUGCGCUAGGAAUGAUUGCUUUACUAACUUUGCUCUUAAUUAGGCAUCGUAAAUUCAUAGUUGAGCUAAAGUAGUACUUUUAAAAGUACGUAUUUACUAUUUACUUGCUAUUACUUUUUACCUCUUGAAUACAUAAGAUUUACUAUUUGGUGAUACUAUAAGUAUGUAUCUAAGGGGUGAAGAGUGAAAGUAUAUCAAUAGCAUUUGUUUUUCUAAUAUAUUGUAGCUCAACUCUCUAAAUCCGAUAUUUUUUUGAGAGAAAGAAAACAUAUUGUUCGUUCCGUUCAUUUUUUUAAGAAAUAAAUUUAGCUAAAAUUGUAAAGCAAUUAUAUUUUAAACAUAAAACAUUAGAUAUCAAUUAUUAAGCCCUUUAUCACUUACAUUAGAAAUGAUCUAACUUUUUGUGAAUUAAUGUAUUAUGGGGCAUGGCGUACUUUAUUUUCUUACGCUGCGAUCAACUAUAAAGCACAUUUUGAUCUUCACAUAUUCUUUCUGGGGCGUAGCAUUGCGAUCGAAAGAAAAGGACAAUGAGAGGUGCCUUAAAAAGUGUGGCAAAAGUCUGAGGCACAUAAGGCUUGUAAAGAAAUUAGAUGAACAGUUUCUAGUGCAAUUAAUUACGGAGGUGUACAUUCCAUAUAUAUUUUGCAAUCACUGUUCACUAGUGUUCUCUUUUGUCUGUUUGUAUAUAGCAUUGACCCAAGUUUCUUUUUAGCAAUUCACUUUACACUUUGUAUUUCUUUUGUCUUUACUUUCUUCUGAGAUAAAGUGGUCUACCGGUUCAGUUUCCAGUAAAAGAUGAACAUUAACUUCCUAAUUGAAAGUUGAAUUCAUUUCAUGGCUCAUAUGUAUAAUCUCCUGUAUCAAGAUGAUUAGAUACGGUUUAUAAAAUAAUCUUUUGUCUCCAUAAUUUUGAAUUGCUAGAGAACAGUUUUUGAUACUUUGUAUAUUCAAAUCUCCUCCUCAAAUCUAAACUCACACGAAAAAAGAAGAAAAUUAAAUAAAAGUUGAAGACAUAGAAUUCGCAUUCCUAAUCUUUUAUUCUGCUAUCAUUAAAACAACCGACUAAUCUAAAAUUUUUUAAAUUACUGGCGAAUAAUUUUUAAUAUGUUAUUUAUUAAACACAACUGUAUUUGUAUCCAGGAUAUUAGGACAAAAGAUUAUUAAUUCUCUUAUAUUUAACGAGUGACAUGCAUGCCACCACGUGUAGACAUACAAACACAUUAAUUCGUUUUCUCGGGGGGACCUCUGAAAUUUCUCCCAUGGACUGCAACUUUGCAUAAUUCAUAGGCUGAUGAGGCCUCUUUGAAUGCUUCUUUUAUCAUUGUUCUCUUUUUUUCCACCCUUCUUUUUCCUUCUCUCACUCUCUCUCCUUUAAACCAUUGUUUUAAAUGCAAAUUCCGUUACACUUGUACGUAGGCCUACACGUGCCAAACUAGUAUAAGUUUCAACUAAAUCAGCUAAAUGGCAAAAUGAAGUAAUCCAACAACACAACAUAGUGUUUAAUUUUGUACUUAAAACUUAACUAGCUUGAACAUUAUGAGCCAACUAUGCUCAAACAUUUUCUUCUUUUUAGCUGCCUAAGGCCUUGUUUGGUCUCGUUUGUGGCCAUUUCGGUGGCGAUCGCAUGUUACAUACUACAGCAUCCUAUAUAUUCGAUCGACGGCGCCAUGAAGAACUGCAAUAAUGGAAAGCACUGUAGGGAACGAGAUGCAUUUUGCGCAUCGCAAUAUAUGAUCGCUCAGUCUAGUUGAGCCAAACAAAUUAACCUUAAUGUUUUGCAUGCAUGCGUUCUACAAUGUAAUUAUUCAUUUAAAACUCGGAUUGUUUUAUUUGAUUAAUUGGGCCCCUAAUUCAAAUUAUGAAUAAAUCAAUGUAGUUAUUAUUAUUAUUUUUUAAUAAGAAAGAGAUUUAAUGCCACAGUAUAUAUAUAGUUACUAUAUAUUCAUGCAGGAGAAGAUUGUAUGGGGCGAGGGAUCGGUUGUGGGUGUGUUCCUUGGGUGGACAAGCUAAGGCUAACAGCUAGUGGUCCUUUUUCUGAAGUGUAGAAUUCCAUCUUUCUAAUUUUAUCCGAUUGGGAAAAUUAAUUUUUAAUUUGCAGAUUGGGUGCCAAUAUUCCAUGCGGUGGCAUGUUGACAUUUUUAGAACAUAGCCCAUUUGUCCAUUCAAACCGAAAAAUAAAAAUAAAAAAUAAAAACCUAUAUGCCAACUGUGAGAAAACUAUAUAUCAGCUAUAUAUAUUGUGAAGUGCUGAUAGUUUCAUAUUGGAUAUGUAGAACGCAGCGAAAGUAUUUAUUUAUAUUUUUUGCAGAAACGGCUCGUAGCUCUAGAAUGCGAUGGGUCAUGGAUCGUAGAGAUUGAUUCACAUGUUUUCGAAUCGUCCACAAAAGUCUUUUAACGCCCCAAACUCACUGUUGAUCGAGUUAUGGAAGAGCUAAAUUCAUAAUCCACCGUUCAAGACCUUCUACAAGUAUAGGUUAAUGAAGGAAGCGGUUUUUCUUUUUCACAAAGACAGCUUAUAAAUUACUCAUAAAAUUUAUGACUUCUAUUUUUUCUUCUUCUUUCUAUGAGAGAAGAGCCCCUAUAUUUAUAAGGAAUUAUAAAACUCUAAUAGGUAAGUAAAAUAUUAGGCGGAAUCAGUUUAUAAUUGUUAUUCUAAUAUAGCUAGAAUAUAUCUCUAAUUACUUUUUCAAUUUAAAAGCAAGAUUCAGUAUAGUCCAAUUAGAUAAUAUAAUAAUUAUCGGAUCGAGCCUAAUUUUGGGCGCAUCCGAUUCGGUUUAACCCAAUGCUAACAGGAUUAAAAAAGAAUUACGAUUGCAAUUCGCAAUAUAAUUAAGAGUCAGACAUCUAAUGCGAAUAACUAAAUUUAAAUAUUUUGAAUAGAUUGUUUGGAUCAAGCAUUUUAUUAUUAUUAUUAUUUUUUGAGAAUAGAUCAAGCAUUUUAUUAAUGUUAGUUGGUUAGGUUGUUUGGUAUUGGAGCCGAUUUGUUAGCUAGAAGUGAGAGACGGGUCUCACAUUGUCUGAUGAUCUAAAAAAUAAUAAGAAAAUUGCAUCUCACAGAAAGAAAUUACCAUUGAAAAUAUAAGAAUCGAAAAGUUCCAACGAGUUUUCAGUUCUAGCGGGCCGGCUUGUUACACCAACUUUGAGCCAAUGCUUCUGCAGUUAGUUCAAUGCUUAUAUUAGUUUGUAAUGGCAACUAUGCUAUGUGUUGAGGCUCACUAACAACUGUGGAAGAAUAACUAAAGCUAAAAAUUUUAGAAGAAACAGGGAUAAGGGCUUAUUAUUAUCAUUUAAUCAAAUUUGUGUUAAGCAGUGGAUUUGAUUAAUUGCAUAUAAUUGUCAUGGACAUAUAUUUGAAGUCAAUUUGUUUGGCUUUUCUAUUCUUACCAUAAAAUUCUAUAUUAUAAGAUACGAACCGUACAUACUUUUCGUUUUUUCUGAUUGACCAAUAAACCUAGCCAAUAUUAUUAUCUCAGAUAUAAAUUGUUAUAAUUUGAUUAUUAUAUAUUCAGUCUAAAUUUGUUCUUAAUAUAUCUGGCAUGUAUCGACCGUCUCUAAAACAAGUGGCAAAGGGCUUGGUGAUUGGUACCCGAGACCCAAGUUCGAAUCCUAAUUGAUUCACAUAUUCAGCCAAGUUUAUUUCUAAAUGAAAUAAACGAAGCGGGUAGCGUGCUACUUAUCUCUCAAAAAAAUAAAUAAAUAAAUAAAUCUGGCAUGCUUCGAGUAAAAUUUGGUAUGUUAAUAUUAUUUUCUAGACAUUUUGCGGCGAACUCACAAAUCAAAUGUGUAUGUAAUUCGUACAUAACUGAGCAGUCAAAGUGGAUUGCACGGACAAUGACUCCGCAACGUACAGUUGCAAAGGGAGGUGUUAUCUUUUAGGAAGGAGAUGGACAAAGAGUAUUAAUAUACAAUGGUGGUCCCUGGGACCUUGGCCAUGCAAUUCAACACCAUUAUUUAAUGACAUAAGGCCAUUCCAACCUUUCCAACCUUGCAGGGCAAAUUGCAGGGUAUGUUUCUACUUUCCAAUUGGAUUUAUACAUGAAAAGUUGUUUAGUCUUCUUCUACUUCUGCUUUCAGCUUCAGUUAUUCUACAUUAAACUGUGAUGGUAAAUAAAAUUAUGAUUAGAACUUCUGAUUUUACUAUAAAGUUUACUUAUCGAGAAGAUUUCUAAGUAAAGGCUAAAAUUUUUCUAUACGCCCUGUGCCACGAUGUCAAAAAUAGGUUAGGUUCAGAUUGAGAAAAUCACAAACUGGUUUAAGCAAAUUGGGAAGUUUUUUUUUUUUUUUUUUUGACAAUCUUGUCCUCUGGUUGUAGCUAAUGAUGUGUCUCGCCAAAUGAAUUAAUCAAUAAUUCCUUAUUAAUGGCAUGGUAGGCAAAUUAGUCCAUGGUCAAUUGGGUUGGUAGAGCCAAAGCCACCUACAUAGCUCCAUAGCAAUAGCUCUACAAUAUAUCUAAAUAAGAAUAGGAAUAAGCACCAUUUCCACCCCUAAAAUCCCUACCCCAUCAUUUCUUAUUCUCCACUAGAAGCCAAUAACUCUCUUAAUUCAUAAGCACAAACUAAGAAUAGUAACUACAAUUUAAUUACUCCUAUAUGAUAUAUAUAACACAUUAUGGAGAUUAUCCUUUGAGAGAGAAAAACCCUAAAAAGGAAUCCCUGUGUGUAAUUUUCUUUUAUUAAUUUAGUAAAAAGUCACGCCACACAAUUUACUGCGUCAAAAGUCGGAACCGUUAUUAUAGUUGUGGGCCCAAGUUAUUUCCCUUAUGUUUGGCCCUGGCCCAUUAUGUGCCGGCACUGCUUAAUUCCCAAUUUUACCCCUGCCCGAGAGUGAUAAUGGGCCUCUUACAGAUAGUUAUUAUUUUAUUACAGGGGUAAGAGGGUCAUAACACAUCUAAGAAAAUUGUGGGCAAAAAUUUUAGGAAAACUUUAAAUACCACCCAGUGGUUUCGCACGUUCUCACUUCAGUACCACGUGGUUUAAAGUGUAUCAAUUUAGUAUCCUGUGAUUUUUUUUCUUUUUAUUAUCUAUUUACUAAUUUUUGUUGUUAAAUUAAUGAUAAAAUUAAAACUAAAAUGUAUUAAAGUGCAUAUUCGAUAAAUCUACGUGAGGUAUCUAAAGUUUUUUUGUAUAUAAUUUAAUGAAAUAUUAACAAAAGAGCUGACAAAAAGAGAAAAUAAAGUCGUAGAGUACUAACUUGAUACACUUUGAACUAUAGGGUACUAAAAUGAAAAAAUACAAAACCACAUGGAUGGUAUUUGAAGUUUAUCCAAAAAUUUAUGAAGACCCCCCUCAACUAUAUAGGUCGUCAUAAAUUAAGACUUUGAACUGUUUUCUAUUUUUUUUAAAAGUUUUUAAUUUCUCUUUUUUUUGUCAUAUAAUUUGGUAAUUCACGCCUCUCGAAGCAGAUUUACUUUGUUAAUACUUCACGAUCAAUAGCUAACAAAAUUGUUAAUUUGGGUAAAGUUUUUAUUUUAGUUGACUAACAUAAUUUAAAUCACUAUUUCAAAACAAUCUGGCUGUUUAGUUAGAUGUAAUUAGAAAUAAAAUAUAAUUAAAGAAUACGCGCAACUAAAAACACAAUAGUUAUAAUUACUUAUAUAUUAUUUAAUUAGAUGCAGUUGAAAGCAUUACAAUUGUAAACAAUUUGUUUUAUUAUAUGUGGUUAAGAAAUAUAUUUAUAUUUUUUAUUAUUAUAUAUUGUGGGAUGAGAUUAUCUAUAUGAUAAAAAAUAUAUUUUUUAUUUGAAAAAUUAUUAGAAAGGUAAACUUACUUUCGUCUAAAACUACUCUCUUCAAUUGUUGUAGUCGGAAUUAUGGCUAAUUGAGACGUAAUUCCAAAUUAAGUCUUCUCUUACCGUUCCAACCGCAGCAAUUAAAUUCAAAUACAUCAAAACUAAUUAAACAACAAAUUUAGAUUUGAAUAUAAUUAUAACUGUGUGCAACCAAACAGUCGCUAACAGUUGAGGAGUCUCCAUACAUUUUUACCAAAUUUAUAUCCGGCACCCCUAAAAAGUUCUGAACUUUCUCAUUUACCUCUCUCAGAAAGUUAACAUUAAAAAUUAAUUUUUUACAUUUCAAGUUAUUUCAAAUAUAAUAAACUGUUAGGUUAUCCCUUUUGAAUAUACUUUUCUAUCAUCAUCAACUUUUUUAUUUGCCUUUAAAUUAGGGAUAAAAAAAAAUAUUUUUAUUUUUAAUCUUUUAAAAUAUAUUCAUAUAUCAUCACCGGCUUUGCUUAUUUGCCCUGAAAUUAGUGGCAAAAAAAAUAUUUUAAUUUUUUUAACUCCGAUAAAUAUUUAACUCAUGUCUAAUUCGAGAUAACUUAACGAAUGAUAACUACAAGAUAUUUUUAAGUAACAGAGAAAAAACAUAUAAAGAGAAUAUUAGAAAUAAAAAAAAUAAAUUAAAUAUUUUUAAAGUUGUGAGAGGUACAAAACCAAUUAUUCCAAUUUAUAUUCCUGCUAUUUAUGCUGCUGACCUUUCUCCUUCUCCUCGCCCACCUCUCUCUCUCCUCCCCUUCCUAUUAAUCCUUCUGCACCUCUCUCUCUCUCUCUCUCUCUCACACACACACACACACACACACACAGACCUCUUACUCUUACUCUUACUCUUACUCUUGCACUCCACAACUGGAGCUUCCUCUUCUUACUUGCCUGUGCGUGAGAAGAGAGUGACAACAUGGGCAGGUCGCCGUGUUGCGAGAAGGUGGGACUGAAGAAAGGCCCGUGGACGCCGGAAGAGGACCAGAAGCUCCUCGCCUACAUCGAGGAGCACGGCCACGGGAGCUGGCGCGCAUUGCCGGCAAAGGCCGGUAAGCUCCACGUGGCCUCUCAAAUAUUAGUUCUGUUCUUGACCACAACGUACAGCGCUUAAAAGAGAUCUGCUGUCUAGCCAUAGUAGGCUACAUUAAUUCUGCGUCACUUAUUAAUUGAAAAAACAACCUCAGAUCUCUUCAAGAAGCUCUUUCACAUCAUUGUAGACAAUGGCUGUUUAACCAAUUCUCUAUAUAUCUUUCUUGUUUUCCUUUUUUUUUUUUUGAAAAAAGAAAAUUAUAGUAAUGAUAGUAUUGAGUCUCUGCAGGUUUGCAGAGGUGCGGAAAGAGUUGUAGGCUGAGAUGGACCAACUACCUGAGGCCUGAUAUAAAGAGGGGGAAAUUCAGCUUACAGGAGGAGCAAACUAUUAUCCAACUACAUGCUCUGCUUGGUAACAGGUGAUCGAUUAUAUAUAUUUUUUCAAUUACUAAACUCAACUACUACUACUACUAAUAAUAAAAAUAACAGUAUCUGCGUGCGCACACAUUGCAUGUGAAAAAUUCUCGGAGGGUAGUAAAAAAAUGUCCUAUAAUUCUUCAAAAUUUACUAUUAUUAUUAUUUUUUUUUUUUAUUUCAAUUGUGAGAGCUUGAGUAAACUACUGUAGAUAUGUUGUUGUACAUUUGUACUGCGACAUUUGCUGCAUGUCUGAUGUUAAGGUGUCUCAGGUUCGUGUGUGAAUUCAUGCUACUGUACAUGUAUAUGUUGUCGAGCCCAUAAUUUUAUCUCUUUAAGUUGAAAUUUUCCAUGCUCAGAUUGUUAUAUAUAUAAUCAAGUAUUUAAGAACACUUUUUUUCUUUUCUUUAUCUAUUUUUGUUUAAGAGUGAAAAACUGCAGUUAUGUCAUUGACAGAGAAGUACAAAACGAUUUUGUACUAGUAAUUUCAGCCAGACCCUUUUUCUUGUUUAUAAGUAAAAAAAAAAAAAAAGAAAAAAGUUUAUGGAAAAUAAUACUAUCAAAAAGGGCCAAAUUUGGCUAGUUGAUAGUGAUCAAGUUCAACAAAUUACUCCACAAACAUCCAAACUUCAUUAAUGCUUAUAAGUAACAUUAGUUUUGCUCACAACAUAUUGAAACCAAUCUUCCAGAUGGUCAGCUAUAGCUACCCACCUACCGAAAAGAACGGACAACGAGAUCAAGAACUACUGGAACACCCACCUAAAGAAGAGGCUGGCGAAGAUGGGCAUCGACCCGGUAACUCACAAGCCGAAGAACGAAACCCUGGGCUCGCCCCAAGGCUACUCCAAGAGCACGGCCAACCUCAGCCACAUCGCUCAGUGGGAGAGCGCGCGCCUUGAAGCCGAGGCUCGGCUUGCGAGGGAAUCCAAACUCCGAGCGACAUCCCUCUCUGCCACUCUCCGCACGACGGAGGGGUCACCGACAUCCACAUUGAGCUUCUCAGAGAAUAAUAACAUGCUCCGUGCUGCGAUCAAUGGGCCAGGGAGUGGAGAAUUGGUAGCAGAUGAAGAAGUGGAGUGGAAAUGCCUCGGAAAGAGGACGAACACCGACUUCUUGGGCUUCCAGGUGGAUACGGCGACGACUUUGGCUUUUGGCGGAGAAGUGCAGUGGAUUCCAGAAACAUCCGAUGGGGAAGUCGGCGCCGGAUUCACUGGCAUGCUGCUGGAUAAUUCGUCCGACGUUGGUGGUGGCGAAUCCAAUAAUGCACGCGGAGGGAGCUCUAUUGAGGAGGGGGAAGAGAGCGGGAACUACUGGAAUAGUAUCUUCAACUUGGUGAUUUCAUCGUCCCCUCCGGAUUCGCCAUCGGUAUUCUGAAAAAUGAAACCUGUCAAGAAUCUUGAUCCAAUGAGUUCAUUUGAUUCUUACAAGUGGUUUGAUUAACUCGGUCUUAAGGCGGCCCGAGUCAAUUCAAAUUGGUAGAAAUGUACUCAGAAAAAAAAAAGGGGGGGUGGGGGUGGGGGUGGGGGUGGAAGGAAAAAAGCUAGAAGGAUUCAGUGAAUUUUUUUUAUAAAAAAAACAAUCAUGUAAUAUUAUUAAUUCCUUAUUAUGGUAGGUUGCAUAUUGCUUUUCGUUCAUGGAGUAAUGUUGUAUGUUAGUAAUAAGAACAAUAACAAUGUACUAGAAACACUGCUGUUGUAAGAAAUUAAGUGCCCUGAGGAUUUCUCCUCCACGGUGGGGUCGGUGCAUUUAAUUAGUACAGGACUUUACAGUUGUUUGUUCAGUGUCUACGUUUCUCUCCGUCUCAAGCAGUUUUUUCAAUUAAUUUGCAAGUCCUUACAUUGAAAUGAUUGUAAAUUUCGACACUACCUAUCCGUCAUAUUCAUUAAGUCAACAUCAAGGGCCUUCACUGUUCUUACUAGCAACAUAAAUACAGAGGUAAGAGGACUCGGCCAUUGAUUACAUUAGUAUACUGAUGAUGAUUUUAUGAAGGAACUUUAUGAAGAAAAUAUGAAAGAACUUUGCGAAGAGUAUGCAUGCGGAUUUGCACUGUAAUUAGCACUGUUAACUCAGAACUACAUGUCACACUCAAUUUCGUUCUUCAGUUAUUUCAUAAUAAGAACGAAAGGAAAGAAGCUCGCUUUAAAAAUGAAUAUGGGAAACUCAGUAUAAAACAUCUAUAAAAAGAACUCUGACGAUUAAAGGGUAGGAAUUCUGGUACUUUCAUUAUUAUAAAGUCAUGAGAAUCCACUGACUAGUAGAAAAAAAAAUACAAUCCAAUACAAACGAGAUCAGAGAAGGUUAUAGCAAAUAUUCUUUCACCCAUAAAUCAAGAAGGUUAUUUCUGCAGGUCAAACCUAUUGUAUCGAAACUACCAUAGUGAAACCUUUAGUCUAAACAGAAUAAAUGAUCGUCAUAAUGGCGCUUUGUGACCCAACUUCUCAACUCUGCUCCCUCUGGUAACAUGUAAAAAAGUUUCACUUUUGGUUUAAUAAGCCCGGACAGAUAAAUAGAUAGAUGAACCAAUGAAGCGAGAUAAGAGAUGAAACACAAACCUGGCACUGAAGGAAAGGAAUACGUACUCUCGGUCCCAUUGAAACCGUUGUCAGUCGCCAUCGCUUUAUUUAAUUCCCAUGUUGUUGCCUCGCCCUUUUGCCCAUGGCUGCUUCUAAUCCAACUCUGCAAACCAGUCGGAAAGGAUAUACUUUUCUCUCCACUCGCUAUUGUCCCUCCCUCAUUUAAAUGCUUUGAUGAUCACCGUGCCACCAUAAAGGUGCCUGUCUCCAUAAGAUAUAUUUUUAACUUUCGGGCGAUGGACUUAAAGGUUGCUUCGUAGUGCAUGUAUUACAUAGCACUAGAGCUGAACAUGGCUGAAAAAGAGUCAACAGACAGGUUAAACCACGAGAAACCAACAUGAUUAACAUGACUGUAGUCAAAAGCAAUUAUUCACAAACAUUGUAAAGCAUGACCUUUAUAACUUACGAGCUUCUAAAUAGUAAAACUAGAAAGCAGUGACUAGAAGUAAACACAAAAUGUAGAGCUGGAUCUACAGUGUUCUAAAGAUGCUGAUACAAAAUACUACGUGGGUCCUAUCAAUGAAUUGAUUGCGUGGUUUACCACGGCUUGAUGUCAAAGACACAGAAACAUCAUUUAAAUGCACAACCAAGGACCACUCUGUUAACAAAAAAAAAAAANAAGGACCACUCUGAAAAAAAAAAAAAAAAAAAAAAAAAAAGUUUUUAGAAGGUUAGAGGAAGAUAGAAUAUCUCAGAUCAGAAGCAACCAAAGGGCCAAUAUCAAUAUGCCAUGAGAACCCGGAAAGAUAAAUCUUGCACGCUGGGUGAUUACUAAUAGUAUGGUUUGAGAAUGAAGAAUAUUGGCAUAAACAAUAAUAUGCUUCCAGUAGGUGACUGAUCUUAAAAUGAAAGAUGAGAUAUGUUCAAGAUGAAUAAAAGCCCUGAACUAUAAUACAGUAAAAUAUCAUGAAACAAACUAAAUGAUUACUACAGUCAUAUUAUUCAGUUGCUGAGAUCAAAAGGAUGGCCUCCCUUUGUUGGUACCCCAAAUCAAUUGGUCCUAUUUCUUCAGUCUGAGCCACAGUAGGUCGGAAAAUAUUAAGCCCAACUUUGGUUGAAACUUGAGAGCAAGAAAACAAGACUUUUUUGUGAGGCCCAAUCGGGCUGCAUUUCAAUUACUAACAACAUGCCAGCCCAAGCUCAGUCCUCUUCACUUCAGGCUGUACUACUCAGCCAAAGGCCUACAGAUGGAGUACUUGUACUGAUGCUUUUUCACAGCAAGCAACUCAUACUACCUUGCCAUCUUCAUCUGUCACCAUCUGAUACAGUUUUCUUCCUAGUUUCAUCCUCACAUGUUCAUGCUCAGAGUCUUCUACUACAUUUAAGAAUUUAUAGUACAGAGCAAUUCAUUGUACCCAACUCAUCAAUAUAAUCCGUUGUUUGCUUGGAGUAGUUCAUAGUCCUUGUUGCAUCCUCAAACAUCUUAGCUGCUCAGCAGACAUAUUUUAUAUGAAUCAGCAAACACGAGAUGAUUGUUACAUUGAUUGGCGGUGUUCAGCCUAAACUAAUUUCAUUACAUAUAUACCAAGGUGGCAAGGCACUAAAAUAAAACCAAUAUUUCGGACAAACCAGAACAAAUUCCAACGCAUUUUCGCGGACAACUCUUUUCAAGGCUUUAAGUUUGACUCGCUCAUAUGAAGCUAGAACUCUAGAUGCAUUCAAAGGCUAUCAGAACUUUUUAAGUUUGGUUGCUCCGCACACUGUGAUUGGACUAGGUAGAACAACUUUUGAGUUCUCAAAGCCCUCGACCUAUGACAACAUAAGACAAUAAUACAAACUCCUAUUUCAAGGAGAGGUUAUGAUGUCGGAUACCUUACAUUAGAGUUACAAACGGAUUCAUUCAUAUAGAACUAAUCAUUUCAGCUUGCCUCCGAGAUAAAUUCUGAGCAAGGUAUAAUUGCACAUGAGUCUCACUCUGCUGCAUAUCAUCUUACUACACAAGUGAAAUAGACCCAAGAGAAAUCGACCCAAAUAGACCUCCUUUUUGAAAUAUUUCAAGCUCAUACAGGUAAAAAUAAUUUAGAAUUGUACACAUUCAUAACAAGUCAAAAUUGAAACUAGGUAAGCAAGUACAUAAUUGAAACUAGGUGGCACGCAUGUUCAACUAUGGUAAAGGAAGAACCAAAGCACAAGAAAACACUAUGAUUUUUUAACUUUGAGAGAUACCAUUAAUUGGAAUGACAAAGUAACAAAUCUAAACAAAAAUAAAACUGUUACAGCCUGUAACGAGCAUCUUAUGCAUGUUAGUGAUGCAAAGAUGCAUUCUUCUUUCAAUAGAUCACAUGAAACACUGUGUGAAUGAAGAUAUAAACUCAAUACAAUGAACCGAUCUCACCUAUCCAUUUUCAUACAUUAAAUCCCUUCCACUUACUGAAGCUACCGAGCUCCCCACCCUCCGAAACCGCCAUCCCAAUGCCGGUUCUCCCACUCCUACUACUACCACCAUAAUAAAGCCUCCACUCAUCCCCCCCUUCCACUCGGAUCAAGCACGGAUCUCCGAUCCCUUGAUUAUCCCAUCCAUUAUCUUCCGUUGAAGCACUUAGUAUCGGCCCAUCACCACAUCUCCUCCAAUUCUUCAAUCCAUCGACACUCUCCGCCAACCCGAUACUCGUUCGGCCAUUUCCACAAACACCUUCAUACACCAUAACAUACUUCCCAUCCUUCUGGUCCCUCACAACAUGCCCGCACCGCACGCCACCCUCGUCGAAACACCCGGCGGCUCCGCCGUCGAGCACUUUCCCCAAUUUCACCCACCGAAUCCCGUCCCUCGACCUGGCGAUCCCGAUCGCAUACCGCCCGCAAUUCACAUCGAACGAAUGGUAGUACAUCCGCAAAUCGCCUCCCCCGUGGUAUACCACCUUCGGGGAGGAGACGAACAACGAGUCCCACUCUCUGGGAGCCCCGACGUCGAUAAGCGCACCGCUGUGGUGCUCGCCUUCUAUCCGCGCCCAAUGGCGACCGUCCUGGCUCACGGCGAGCCCCGGGAGCGACUUGGAAACGCCGUUCUCCGAAGGAGCCGCGUUCGGGAACGCGACCUUCUCGGGGCCGAACCCGGUGUAGUAGAGCCAGUACACGGCGCCGGGGGUUCGGAGCUUCGCACUGGACAUGAUGAGCACAUCGGACGGUCGAACGCGCUCGGUGUCGAACGCCCACCAAUCGGUGCUCGGGCCCAUCACGCGGCCCACGUCGUCGCCGCUCGCGACGUCGCCGGAGCCGCGUUCCCAGUGGACGCCGUUGUUGGAAACCGCGAUUCCGACCGCGUCGGCGCCGCCGCGCGGGCCGAGGCCGUGGUACCACAUCAGCCACCGCUCGCUGGCGUCGGUGAGGUAGCGCUCGACCACCGGGGAGCCGACCACGUGGCAGUCCCAGGAGGCGCGGGCGGUGGGGCCCGCGUCGAACACCAGGCCAUCGGAGGGCGGGGACGAGAUGGACGGCGGGGAUUUCGGAUCGGCGGCGCGCGAGCGGUGGACGCGGCGAGCGGGGGACCGUAGGAUUGAGGAGGAGGGGGUGCGUCGUGGGACGGUUUUGAGCGGAAGGGUUGUUGUGGUUUUGAUGCGAGUGUUUGUGUUUGUGGUCGAGGGGCGGUAUGCGGCCACCGCAGCUGCUGCGGCUUCCAUGUUUUUGGCGUGCGGAGGGAACGGUGGGAUAAAGCGCUUCGCAACGAAGCGGAUAACAUUGUCAUUAUUGAUAGACCACUACCAGUAAGGUUUAGGAGGUCAACUUUGGACAAGGACGUGUUGUUAAUGAGAGAUCAAUCUGCUUAAAUUAAUCACUGGAUUGACUAAUGGCUAUGUCUCCUGGAGAAAUUCGACAAGUGCUUUAAUCUCAGGAUUGCGUGUGGUGUUUGAAAGUAAAGCACACUAUCUGCUUAAUUCUGCUAGAUCUUAUAUCAAAUUCUUUUUUCUUCUUCUACUGUAAAAAUGAUUAAAUCAACACCAAAUAAGCUCUAAUUCAUGUCAAGGAAAUUGGACAAACAAAUUAUGCAAAAGUCAUUGGGAAAUAUUUACGAAACAAAUUCCACUAAUUAACAGUAAUUAAAAAAUAUAAAGAAAUCACCGGUUGGGCCGAAGAUAAUUUUGUCCGAGCUCAGCCUAAAUAAUACGGCCCACACAUGAGCCUCCACCAAGUUUCGGCCCAUUAAAUACCGCCGCACAAAAUUAUGUGUAGACUAAAAAUCCUGGAAACGGGCGAAGAGAGAAGGAACGAAGUCGAAGCCAAAAGUCACCCAACCCAUCUCCUCCUACUCUCCAAUUCUCAACCCCUUCGAUCUCCACUCGUUUACUAAGGUACUCUUCGCUUUCUUUCUUUUUUUAUUUCAUUUAAUUUUAAGGCUUAGAUUCCUUGUAAUCUCGUGUGCUAGGGUUUCAUUUGAAUCCCAAAAUUCAUACUGCUCACUUUUUACUCUGAUCGAAAGCUUGAAUCCUAUAUAAGAACCCUAGAUCAACCCAUUGGUAUGAUUCACAACGAUUUGUUUGUUGGAUUUAUGAGAAUGAUCAUGCUUACAGGAGUAAAAUUUGCUUCUUCAGGAAGCUUCUAGAAGGAGAUGGGGAAAGACUCGACGGCGAAGGAGCCAUCAGGAAAGGGCAAGGGGAAGCAGGCUGCCGCCGGGGGCGAAGAGAAUGCUUCGAAGGGUAAAGGGAAGGGCGGCAAGGCGGCCGAUGGUCUCGGCACCUGCACUUAUGUCAAAGGUUUUAUUUUUCCUUUUAUUUCUAGGCUAUCUAAUUUUGUCCAUUGUAACUAUCUACAGGAUUAAGAUUUAAUUGUUCAUAAUUGAGGAUUAGUUGCAGAAGCAGGGAGGUUGUGAUUUAGUUACUCUUUGCCUGAGUUGUAGUAUUUGGAACUCAUCGGAAUUGUUUGCAUGAUAUUCUAAUUUUGGUCAUAAGACCCAUUUAAUUUGUACUGUUGCAAUGGUCGUGGAGAACAUGUCGCGCAACCUCUUUCCUUUCUCUUUCUCUGUUUCUCUCUACACAUGCAUGACACACACACAUAUGCAUAGAGACAUCUAAGAAUGGGAAAAUAAAGAUAUAUAACUUCUUUGUGCACAUUUGUUGACAAGUUUAUUCUUGAUGUGAUUCUGCCUGAGACUGAGGAAGAUAAAAAAAUUGACUUUUUUCCUAUGUGGACUCUGUUGAGAAGUUUAUCAAAGCUAAUAAGUUUUCUUCAAGUAAUUUCUGAAUCAAAUGCAUACCAUACUCACUUUUUUCUGAAACACAAAUCCUUGCUGUUCAUUUCCGGAUCAAAUGCAUACCCUUUACCAAGUUUCGGAGUUUGGAACAUUUUUAGCUCUUGCAAAGACUUCUUGUCUUUUGACAAAGCGCAAAAGGCACUGAUAGUCCUAUCUGUUAAAGGAAGUUACUUUGCAAUAUGGUUUUUCUGCAUAUAACUUUUUUUUGAAUAGUAAAUCAUAACAGCAGCUGUUUUAACUUGUUAAAGAUGCAACUUAAUUUCACACUUAGAUGUCAUAAAAACAUGACACAACUUGAAUUAUUACUCCCUUUGUCAUGAUUGAAAAUUCGUUGGAUCCUAGAUACUUCAAGAAUAGGUGGCCUAAUAGACAAAACUUUAGCAAUAUUCGAACUAUAUUUCCUUUUACUGAUAUUUUACUUAUUUCCGUAUGAUGGUUACAAUGAUUGUCCUGUAUGACGUGGUUUUUACCGCUCCAUAUAAUUAAUCCUUAAUUAUUUUCUUUUCCAGCUAGGCAUAUUUUAUGUGAAAAGCAAGGGAAGAUUAAUGAGGCCUACAAGAAGCUGCAAGAUGGUUGGCUAAACAACGGAGACAAAGUUCCUCCUGCUGAGUUUGCCAAAGUAAGCCAGAUGACUAACUAAUUGGGAAUCCAGAAAUACUCAGGAAACUAAGUACUGUUGGCUUGCGAAGCAUUGAGGCCGCCCUCGCCUAAUAUAUCUGAAAUGCUGUCAUAUAUAUAUUUUUUAAAGCUUAAUAUUAUUUAUGGUUAACAAAUAGGCUGAAUAGCUAAUAUUCUUAACAUCCUUGAAAAGAACGAAAAGGUUGCUUCUUGUAUUGAUGUAACUUUAUAAUUUAUUUGGUUGUGGCGAUAUCAGAUAGCAGCAGAAUAUUCAGAAUGCCCAUCAGGAAAGAAAGGGGGUGAUCUUGGGUGGUUUCCCAGAGGGAAAAUGGCUGGCCCUUUUCAGGAUGUUGCUUUUAGCACAGCUGUGGGAGCUACCAGUGCUCCGUUCAAGUCUACGUAUGCCCCGUUCAUGUCCUUUUCUCACAAUUCAUUACCAAGCUCAUGUUCCUCUUAUAUAUUUCUGUGAGGAUGUACUCGUUAGAAAAUUAAUGCAAAAACAAUACCAGUAUUCUCGAACUUUGCGGUUGACCGAAUGCUGUGUUUGUUUUUGAAAAUGCCCCUUGUUUUUCUUUUCUACUACGCUAAUCAUAUUUACGGGUUUCAUGCAGGCAUGGCUACCAUAUUAUCCUAAGCGAGGGGCGGAAAAACUGAUUUCUGUUUCGCCUUCCUAAACUCUGUGGACAAUGUGGUGACCUGUCAAGGAAGCACAGGAAUCUAGUAAAAUUCGAAGGACAAGCCUUUGUUCUUUAAGAUCUAAUAAGCAGAGGAAUCUUUGGUGUAACCUUCUAAGGGGAUUUGAACUUGUCUAAGUAUUAUUUGGCGUGGUUUUGCUGUAAAGUGUGUUUGGUGCAAGUAACUUCAUGUAUGUUUGCAUCCUUGCUAUGUAAUUUGAAGGAAUCGAGACUUGUGGCAUUUCAAUCAGAGUUUUUCAUUUGAUAAAAUCUCCUUGCGAUGGGCCACUAAAAAAAGAAAAAAAAAAAAGGAAAAAAGGAAAAAAAAAGAGAGGAACUUUUUAAGCCGUGCAGGAAUGUUGGUUGCAUGCGCUUCAUGCGAGAGUUUCGUUUAAGGGUGAUAACAAAAUUAUGCAUGGAUCUUCCUACUGUAAGAUUUUACGGUUGAUUUAUUAAAUCUUUUUUUUGUUGAAUUUUUCAAAAAAUUAGAAGAAUGACGUAAAACCAUUCACACAAUAUCGCACUUUUUGAAAUUCUCUUGUGAUCUGAAAUUACGCUACUGUAGAGAUAUUGGAACAUUCUUUAGCCCUUUUGAAAAAGAAAAGUUUUCUAGUACCAAAAAAAAAAAAAAGGAGAGCGUGGUGAUGCUAUCCGUUAUCCAUGUAACCAACGGUCAUGCUUUAAAAAUCCAUCGCUCCUCCCGCACUCACUUCCCAGCGGGAGUAGCAACCAUGGCUCUGCAUCAUCUUCUUCUUACUCCUCCUCAUCCUUUCUCCUUCUCUCCCCCUCUUCUUCCCCUCCUCACCCCUUUUUCCAGCUCUACCCAUCGCUCCAUCUCUCUCCUCACCACCACAAACCCUAGACCAAAACUCUACUCCACCGCACUCCGCCCCACCCACGCCCUCCUCCAAACCCUAGAUUCCGGCUCCGUCCCCUCCGAAUCCGCGCUCGGUGACUUUUCCCAGUGGCUUCGCAAGAACGGCGCGGUGGGCUCCUCUCCACCUCCCGUGAAGCCGAGCUUCGUCCCCGAGGGCUUGGGCCUUGUCGCCCAGAGAGAUCUCCCCAGGAACGAGGUGGUGGUGGAGGUCCCCAAGAAGCUCUGGAUCGACGCCGACACUGUCGCCGCCUCCGCCAUCGGGCGCGUCUGUGGCGGCCUCAAGCCCUGGGUCGCAAUCUCGCUCUUCCUCCUCAGGGAGAAGGCGAUGGGCGAUGCGUCGCCGUGGCGUCCCUACCUCGACAUCCUUCCGCGCCAAACCGAUUCCACCAUCUUCUGGUGAGAUAUGCCCUUCAACUGUUCCAUUCCUCUGUUUAAUUGUUCGGUUUCAUGCUGAUCUCAAGUGUCAUUUGCUACUUCCAGUGCAGGUCGGAAGAGGAGCUUCUGGAGAUACAAGGUAAGAUAAAAUCUCUGAUUUUAUAUAUAUCUUACGAAGAAGGAAAUAUCUGGGUGAUUGUUUUGCUAUUUGGAUGGAUUAUUUUGGCUAAGUAGUUAGCUACACAAAUCGAGUAUUGCUAUUUGGAUGGAUUAUUUUGGCUAAGUAGUUAGCUACACAAAUCGAGUAUAAAAAUUUAUCACCUGGUAAGGUAUACUGUAUACACCUACUAAAAUACAGCAAAGGAGUAGGACGUAGAACCCUUCUUAGUGUCAUGUACUGCUCUGUACACUAGAUAAUUGAAUUCCUUACCCUCCAAUGUGCCACACAAAAAUAUCGCUUCUUAAAAAUGAAGAGAAGGAAGCAAAGUAUUGGAGUGCAAAAGGAUAGCUGAGUAGCUAAGUUUGUUUAUAGUUGGCUGUGUAUCACUUGGAGAUUGUUUAUGAUGGGCUCUUUUACUUCAAGCGACUAAAAUGGAUUAAGUUAUGAAAUUAAUUACGAAAUUAUUACUUUAUUGUCAUCAUUAUGCACUUACCUAGUUACGAUUUGUUAAUAAGUGUUGCCUUAGUACAGUAAGUUUCUUUCAGUUGGUUGUUUUGGAAAUAGUGUCGAACCAUAUCAGGAUUCCCAUUUUUGGCCAGAAUAAUGGAAUUUAUACAGUAAUCAUGUACACAAGUAGGAGUCUUUGUUACCUUACCAAGUUAAUAAAAGAAAUUAUAGUUUGCAGCUCAUACGUCUCCUGGUUUAUUUGGUACAGUCAUUUCACGUGUUCGAUCCACUUAAAUUAUUUUCCACCUUGUUUUUCUGACUUUUUUGUUGUAGCUAAGUGAUGCUCUUUUCCAUCAACAAACAUGCCGACAUCUCUAAAAUAUAUCCUUUGCAGGAACUCAAUUAUUAAGCACAACAAUCGGCGUAAAAGAGUAUGUGAAAAGUGAAUUUGAUCAGGUUGAAGAUGCCAUUAUAGUUCGAUACAAGGAUCUUUUCCCUUCGACUAUAACAUUCCUUGAUUUCCUGUGGGCAUUCGGAAUACUCAGAUCAAGAGCAUUUCCACGUCUCCGUGGGGAAAAUCUUGCUCUGAUACCGUUGGCUGACCUGGUAAUAUCAGUUCUAAUUAUUUCUUGCGCAUUAUUAUGAAUUGCUACUAUUAUAUUUAAAACUCCAUGUAUGUGGAAAUAAUCUGAAUAGGAUUGAUAUGUGGCGUGCAAAGACCAUGUUUUCCAUCAGUGGCGUGCAAAGACUAUGUUUUCCAUCAGAAUACCAUCCUCUGAGAAUAUAACACAAAGUUUUAUCUGUUGCUAGAUGUUUAACAGUUUAAAACAAGUUUAUUUAUUGUUCUAUUGGAGAGAAUAUACUCCUAAAAUUCAAGAUCUUCCCAAAGUCUCUGCAAUCAUGUGUUAAAUUCUCACAUUUAUGCUACUGGGUUAAGAUUCUUGUUUGCAGAAAUGAACAACUUUAUUAUUGCAUUCUAGUUCAGGCUGAGUGAUGCUUUAAUUGCACAACUUAUGCUCAAUAUUUUCACAAUUUAUUGUAUCAUGGAAUCACAUGAUAUAUUUGCAUUUUUAACUCAUGCCUGCUUGACUGAAGAACAGGCGACGACAAAUUUUGUGAAAUUGAUCAGUACUAAAUGAAGAAUAAUCUAAUUGUGACUCUUCCAGUAUAACCAAAUAAUUUGUAUCUAACUGUCAAACUUCUGCUUUGAAUCAGAUUAACCACAGUGAUGCCAUUACUUCAGGAGACCCUUCUUGGGAGAUUAAAGGAAAGGGUCUUUUUUCAAGAGAGCUUAUAUUCUCUUUGAGGACUCCAGUCCCUGUAAAAUCCGGUGAACAGGUAAAUUCUUUAGACCCAAACUCAAUUUUAUGUGAAAACAUGUGCGAUAAUCGAAGUGGUGCAGGUAUACAUUCAGUUUGAUCUAUCAAAGAGCAAUGCCGAACUGGCCCUUGAUUAUGGCUUCAUCGAAUCGAGGUCGGAUCGUCAGGCAUAUACUUUGACUCUGGAGAUCUCUGAAUCAGACCCAUUUUACGGAGACAAGCUGGACAUUGCGGAGUCGAAUGGUCUAGGGGAGACUGCAUACUUUGAUAUUGUCCUGGGUGGCUCUCUUCCUCCUCAGAUGCUUCCUUAUUUGAGAUUGGUUGCUCUUGGAGGAACAGAUGCAUUCCUCUUAGAAUCCAUUUUCAGAAAUUCUGUUUGGGGUCACCUUGAAUUACCUGUGAGCCGCGCCAAUGAGGAAACCAUAUGCCGUGUUGUUAGAUAUGCCUGUAAAUCUGCCCUCUCUAGCUAUAGGACAACCAUACAGGAGGUACAGUUUUAUCUCUAGCUUAAAGAAAUUAAACAAAUCAAAGAGAGUUUAAUAAUUAUUACUGAACCUAAAGCAAUCCAUGAGCCCACUUUCGAUUCUUGUGCUUACGAAACUGAUUCGGUGUAGUUUGCCUUCUUUCUAAUUCCUUAUCUUGCAAUAUGCAGGAUGAAGAACUUAUUAAUGGCGGAAAUCUGGAUCGGAGACUUAGAAUUGCUGUUGGUGUAAGAGCAGGCGAAAAGAAAGUACUUAACCAAAUCGAAGAUAUUUUCCGAGAGAGGGAAUUGGAGUUAGACGGUUUGGAAUACUACCAAGAAAGGAGGCUCAAAGACCUUGGUCUAACCGGCGAACAAGGAGAAAUUAUCUUCUGGGAAUCACGAUAGAGAUGAUGUUUGUAAUAAUAUAUACAUAUCCCUUCGGUGAUGUACUUAUAUUUACGUGCAAGCGCAUGAAAAUUUUCCCACACCAGUUUGGUGUUGCAUUAAGUACAAAGGAAGUGCACUGUGGACUAGUAGGAGAGAACAUUGAUGAGAGCUUUGUAGGAACAAUGCCCCUCCCCCCUCUUCCUCCUUUUCAUCUUUGUAAACCGUACUCUAGAUCACUACAGCAGCACCUCUUUUUGAUGCUUCAGAGAUGCAAAUCCAUGAGACAGCUCACGCAGCUUCAUGCCCAGCUGCUGCUCAACGGCUUCUCCCAGAAGUGCUUCCUCCUCACCAAACUCCUCUCCUUCUGUAUCGCCUCCGGCGACGUCUCUCAUGCCGCCACUGCGUUCUCCCUUGUCGACCAUCCGAGCACCACCCUUUCCAACCAGAUGCUCCGAGCCCUCUCUCUUAGCCCUACGCCUCUCAAUUGCCUCCUUUUCUACAACCAAAUGCUACAGAGGCGAGAAACGUUCAAGCCCAAUGGCUUCACCUACGCUUUCCUAUUCUCCGCGUGCGCUAGAGCAAACUCGUCCCUUUUGUGCCAAGGUGAGCAACUACAUGCUCGGAUUGUUUCUGCCGGAUUCGGCUCAAACGUCUACGUCCAGACCAAUCUCAUCAACAUGUAUGCAACUGCCACCGCUGCCGCCGGCGGCACGAGAGAAGAGGCGAUCGCGCGCGCCCGCAAGGUGUUCGAUGAUAUGCCGCAGCGGAGCAUCGUCUCCUGGAACUCCAUGCUGGCUGUGUACUUGCAGUUGGGGGAGUUGCACACAGCUUCCGAAUUCUUCGGCGAGAUGCCUAAGAGGGAUGCCGUGUCGUGGACCGCCAUGAUCACUGGCUGGGCUCGUGCGGGAAAAGCCUCGCAAGCACUGGAGCUGUUCCGGGAGAUGCGCAGGGCCCGCGUGACCCCCGAUCAGGUAACCAUGAUUGCACUCCUGUCGGUGUGCACGGAACUGGGGGACUUGGAACUGGGCCGGUGGAUCCAUGCGCGCUUGGACCCUUUACAAGGAGGGCGAGACCGUCUCGUGUCGCUCAACAAUGCGCUAAUCCACAUGUACAUCAAAUGCGGCGCCGUCGACGAGGCUCUCCACAUCUUUCACGAGAUGCCAAUGAGAAGCACCAUCUCUUGGACGACCAUGAUUGCUGGUCUUGCAAUGCAUGGCAGCUCCGAGGACGCGUUGGGUCUCUUUCGCUCGAUGCGAGAGAAACCCGAUGCCAUGACGUUCCUCGCAGUACUCUGCACAUGCAGCCACUCGGGGAGGAUCGACGAAGGCCGCCAUUAUUUCAUGAGCAUGCGAAAGCAGCACGGAAUCAGACCAGACGUACGGCACUACGGCUGCAUGGUCGACAUGCUGACUCGUGCAGGCCGGCUGGGCGAGGCCCUGGAGUUGGUGGAGGCAAUGCCGAUGCGGCCGAGCGAUGCGGUGUGGGGAUCGCUGCUCGGCGGGUGCAGAAGGCAUGGAGAGGUAGAGCUCGCCGGGCACGUGGUGGAGAGGUUGAUGGAGCUGAAGCCGGAGAGAGCUGCGGGGUACCUAGUGCUGCUAUCGAAUGUGUAUGCAGCAGUGAGCAGGUGGGAGGAAGCUCACAGGGUGAGGGAGAGGAUGGUAGAUUUGGCCGAGCACAAGCCUGCGGGGCGAAGUUGGAUGAAUCCAAAUGAGUGAAACACUGAAACCUGCACCGCAGCACCGGAAAGGAGCGAGGUGGUACUCUAUCCUCUACCAGAAGAUGCGUCUAGGGGCUAAAUGCAAGUAAUUAAGAUGAUGAUCUAUGACCUGCCACUGAUAGCGCUUGGUGGUGCGCCACCGUUCCACUGCAGAAACCAUCAGAAACUAAAGAUGAUAGAUAACAAGACCAUACGAAAACGAACAUGUUAGCCGCUAUUAGCACGUAGGGUGAAAAAGCUGGACUGGAGCCAAGGAAGACGCUCACAAGCUUUGUUUCUAUAUUAAAGAGUUCUACAAAUCUGAAAGCUUAACCUGAAAGGUAUAUCACCGUCUGUGAUCUGCGAUUCUUGUUCCUAUUCAAUGUAAAACUAAAAUUCUUAAACAAUCCACCGAUAACUUGUUUGAUAUAUUUAUAGAUAUUGAUAUAUAUUUUAUUGCGAAUCAUAAGUUUGAUUCUUAAGUCUUAACUACUGUGAUAUUAUAACAUAUCAUAAAGGUAUUAUGUAGACAUACAUUGUAUUAAUUAUAAAUUUACCAUUUGUGAUGAGUAAAUAAGAGAGAGAUGAUGAACAAAUAUUCAGCCGUCAUAAAAUUCCAAAACAUUACAAGCCAUAAUGGUAUUGUUUAAGUGAAUUUAUUCAACACACACAACAACAUAAGAACUAGGAAAGGUCUCAAUCCAAACAACACUCGAAGAAUGUGAACUACAAACAAAUGUGCAACACGGCACCGCAAACUUUACUAAGCCAUUAGUGUUGUUGGGGGGAAUCAAACCACACCAAGAGGGGGAAAUUUCACUGUAAAUGGUUCACUCAUCAUUGUAAUUGCGACGGUGAUGGUAUUUGUGGUGGCCGCAUCUCUGUUCCUCUUCAGUUUCAUCUCCCUAUUAAUAAUUCCCAAAACGGGAUAAUCAUCAAUCCGAUUCAAUUUUUUCAAAAAGAUUCGGUUAUAAUAUCUUAUCGUUCGAAUUCUACUCUGAUCUAGUAGACAUCCUUAACCAAUAAAAAGGAGUAUUAUUCAUUCCUAUUCUACGUAGAAAUAUCUAAAAUCAACUAAAGAAACACAUAAUAAUGAGCUAAAGCAUUUGAAAAUACAAACACAAAUCAAACUACUUUAAUUUGAGCACAAAAAAACAUCAAGUACUACUCACAUAUAUAUUUAGGGCGGUUAUAAUUGUACACUUCCCCUUGGCCCUGCACGUAGUAGCUGGGCUUCGCAUGCGUACCACUCUCCUCCUCAUAGCUUGGCCUCUCAUAACUACUAGGUCUCUCUCCAUGUCCAUACUCUUCGCUCAUCCCAUAACCACCACCAUCACCACCACUGUUAUACGCACACUGCGGCUUCGGCCGAGGACGCCCGUAUCGGCGAUCACCGGAGUCAGUACUGUCGGCGUAGUAAGAAGAUGCGGCGGAGUCGGAGGAGUAUUGGGCUCUAUUGGAGUCGGCAGCAGAGGAAGAGGAGGUGGACUGGGAGGAUGAGAUGGGGUAGCAAAUGUCGUCGGACGGCGGGAGGGGCUGGCCGAAGGUGAGGCUUAUGUCAUAGCCGCCGCCGUAGGGCGUCGGGUCGUACUCGACGUAGUCGUUGACGUCGUCGACUGAUAGAUCGCCGCCGCCGCCUCCUCUCCACGCCAUCGCUGGCAGCUUCUCCCUCUCUAUCUGACUCUCCUUCUUUGAUGGUAGCUGUGCCGUUACGUCGCUAGCUGGUUUACGUGAGAGGAUGGUAGUGAUAGAGUUUAUAUAAAUCUGUGUGUUGGUUAAUAGGAUAAAUAUAAUGUUGUGUAUAUUUUUAAAUGUAUAUUAUGAAGAUUACAAGUACUUUGUCAAACAUCCAGAUGGGUGCGACUUCUUAUUUUUCUCAGCUUGCUGAUAUUCUGGUCAGCUCCUCUAGUAUCGAAAUUGCCCUCCUGAAAAUUCGGGCUAAAAGUUAUGAAUAUAUAUAUUCACGAAAAAAAAAGUGCCUAAUUAAUGUUAUAUAUGCGAUAGAAUAUUACAUGUUAGACUAGGUCUAGCCAGUAAUUUCAUUCUUAUAAACAGCAUAAACCAAAAACUUCGUGGGAAACGACGAUAUGACGAGAGAUAAGACUUUCCUAGGCCUUUCGACUGGUCAAGCGUAAUACUUUUCGGGACCUUUUCUAAUCGAGCAAAAGGUUUUUUUUUUUUUUUUUUAAGAAAUAGGUAGCACGCUAUCUGCUUUGUUUAUUUUAUUUAGAAAUAAACUUAGCGAAAAAUGUGAAUCAACUAGGAUUCGAACUUGGGUCUCAGAUACCAACCAUCAAGCCCUUUACCACUUACUCUAGAGACGGCCGGUUAUUUUUUAAUAAAAUAGUUACUGUUGAAAGAUGGAAUGUGUGGAUCUUUUUUUACAAAAGUACAUGUGCUUAGCAUGGUUUACCAAAUCAGUUUCUCCUCCCUUUCAUGUUGAAUUUGUUUCAUGUUGAUUGUUAACGUGUUUGGCAUUAAUUAUGAUUUAUCCUGCAAACAUUUAAGAGGAAUGAUUUUUUUUUUUUUUAUUUGACAAAGAGUUUUCUCGAUAAGAUAGUUAAUGUACAACAUGUUCUCAAUCUCGAGUUGCCUUAGCUUUUCUUACAGUGCAGUGAAAUACACCUCAUCGCAUAUGUUGAAAGUAAUAAGCCAAUAAGAUUGAGGCCAUGCAACACCAGAGUUGGAUCCACAACAGUAAGAUAUAAGACUACAGCAAUCACUUUAGGACUUUGUCGCAUCCUUCAAACUAUCCGAGAGAAUCCGACACAACUUCCACCAAGGAAACGUAGUGAACAAUAAACUAGUGCCUGUGUUAUCAUAUUUACAAAAGGAAGAAAAAAAAUUUGCAAAUCAAAUGUCGCAUUUAACCAAAGGCAAGUGUACCUCUUCUUACCAUAUCCUCUGCUCAAUCCAACCAGAGUUGUGAAUAUAGACAGAGAAGAUCAUGAUACAGUUGUUAAUAAGACAAGCAGUCCAUCGAUAUACCAAAUAUAUACAGAGUCGAUAUAUCUCGAAUCAAACAACAGCCGUAUUUUUUUUAAUGAACAAUGGCAUCUUUUACAUACACAACCCAUUUUGGGCGGACAACAACUUGACAAAAAACAAACAAGCAUAAGAAAUCGAGAAUUAAAUAACUGUUCAAAAAUACAGGAGAGUGAAAUCUUAUCUUCCCAGUCCACAACUAGUGGUCCAAGGGUUGUAGCUAAGCUCGACACCAAUAACUCAUUUCCCCUGAUUUGCUUUUCCAGAUAUCAUAUUUCUGCUUCACUUGCUCAUGUUUCUUGUACUCUUUCGUAUUCUUGUUUUAUGAAUUAAUUUAUCGCAAAUUGGUUCCAGCAAUCAGCAAUCCAUGGCAUAUACAAGAAAUCAACCCCAUUCUUGACCAAACCACCAUAUACAAAUAACCAACUGCUUUUAGAAUAUUCCUUCGGUAGUUACACAAGCUCAUUUUAUGUGCAAGAUGGGCACCCCUUCUAAUUGUUUUUUUAUAGAAUUUUCAACAUUCGAUCAUUUUCUCCUGCUAUGAAUUGCCUUUCUCUUGGCUACCCGCUGGCAACAAUCUCCGCCUUAACACUUGGGUGCUAGCUGCAGCUUUCAGCAGCGGCUUUAAGGCAGCCAUAAUCUCCGAAAAUGAUGGCCGUUUCUUUGGGUCUCUACAAUAUGUUCAAAAGAGAAGAAAAAGAAGAAAAUCAAAGAAUAAAUAAAGGAAUCAGUGAAAAAAAUAACACGGGACUGAGGGUGAGCAUAUUAGUGUUUGCUGAAUCCAACUUCCUCGCAAGUGUACACGAAGUAAAUGGCAGAGCAAUAUAUACCAAAUCACUGUGCUGUAAAAUGUCUACUGCAUGUCUACUGUUAAAGAGAAAAGGCGGCAACACAAGUGUUGAGGCCAAUCUAUCAAGAUCUGUACAAUCAAUCAACUGAUGAAAAUCUAAUUACUCCGGUAGCUUAGGUAAGAUGUAUGUAUAGCAGUUGGACAAUUAUUUAUGAAAAGGAGGAAGCUUAUGUGGCGAUGGAUCUGCCCAACUUAGAAAACAAGGUAAGAGGUUCAUUCUUUUCAUCAAAGAUCCGAGGGAACUUCAAUAGCAAACACAAUUAAGGACACAACAGGUAAAGAUAAUUUUGAAUCUCUUAGAGGAAACAGGUUUAUAUUUGUUGGGCAAUAUAUAAAGAAAUUUGAAAAUAAGAAGUAUACUAACGUUUGCCAGCACUUCUUUAUAAUGUCUGCUAUGACAGGAUCCAUGUCAUCUGGAAUGUCAAGGCGGCGAUGCUGAAAUCCAACAGCUCCAACAACUUGCAUGGGAUUCAUGCCUUCCCAUGGCUGCUGCAAUGUGCACAGCUCCCAUAGUAUGACACCGAAGCUAAAAACGUCACACCUGAAUAUGCAAACUAUGGAUUAGUGAAAUAAGAUACCAUGCAAAAAUUUAAACAAAAUAUGCUACUUAAAAAGCAAAACACACUUCUCAUCUGAAGGUUCAUUUCUGAGUACUUCUGGUGCCAUCCACUCAGCCUACAGCAUACAAAGAAGAACAUCAACAUGGACCAAGAUGAAAUGUAAAGGCAGUAUAACAAUAACUUAGGAAACCAGAGGAUGUAUCCUGGAAGUAAAUGGUUAAAAGCGUAAGAGCUAACAUAUAUCAAAUUUGUUCAAUAUGUUUUAAUGCGCUAAAAUUGUACAAAGCUAGUGCGCACUAAUGUGAUGUUGCAAAAUUAUUAGAUACUUCUUUAUCUUUAAAUGACACUUUAUGAUAAGUUUUGGAACAUCGCACAAACUGCAGCGACGCAUGGCAAAUGAAUGAUAGAUAUCAGGCCUCAGUAAUAUCAGGUACAAGUGAACCAAGUAUAGGAAAAUGAGUAACUGGGAAUAUAAGGACAACUGAAGGCAUUGGAAAAGGCAAAGUUUGAGUAAAUUCUUAAGCAAAUAUAUGUCAGAUAACAGAUAUAUCUAAACGAAGACUAAACAAAAUGCUUACUGUUCCAGCUGUUGAUCUUGAAGAAAGAAAUGUACUGUGCUUCAUUCGUGAUAAACCAAAGUCACAGACCUGAAUUGAUUUGAAGAGAAUAAGCAGUAAGUUUGUGCUAUGAGAAAACGGCAUGAUGCUAAUACUUAGAGGAUAUGACAUUUACUCUUAAAGUUAGAAUGGUACCUUUACAACCCAAUUCUUGUCGACAAGAAGGUUUGGAGAUUUGAGAUCACGAUGUACUAUAAUUGGUGUGCAAUUGUGCAAGUAAUUCAUUCCACGAGCCUGCAGACCAAAAUUAAUACGAUAGUACUAAAUAUGAUUGUUUUAUGGCAUCAUUGAGUGUGUCAGUACAUAACAAGAUGCAGAUGAAAGAAUCACUAAGAGUUAUGUAUCAUACAACAUCAAGUGCCAUCCUUAGUCGUCUCCUUUCAUCUAACUGGUUGUUAGGUCGAUGAAUCAAUCGGAACAAGCUCCCUCUGCAUUUUAUAGUACAUCCUUUAAGCACUUUUCAUAAAAAUCGACAUAUGCCAUAGUAGAAUAUUAAAUCUAUCUUAAUUAAAAGAAUGCAUAUCAUUAGAUCAUAAUCACUCAAAUUACCAAAGAAAUUUUGGUGAUGAGUGCCAUUAGGACAAAAUAUCAUUAGAUCAGUCAAAAAAUACUACUGCUGUAGAACGCAAAAUGGGAAAAACAGAAAGGAAAAACCUAGUCCAGAUACACUCUGGAAUUACAAAAAAAAACAGCAUUAAACUUCUUAAAAAAUGCACGCAGACCUUGAUGUUUCUUCCAGUAAAACUUAGAAACAAAUGGUUGACAAUGUAAAAGAAGACACAGUACUUUCAGUUAUAAGAUUGGUGUGACUACAUUAAUGAACUGUUAGCAAGAUUGACUGCAUAAACAAAUCAAAGAAAACAUACCUAGGAAGAAACUCUGUUACAAUGGCAAGAUUGGGCACACGGGUUACAGCACCCAUGAGGAGGACAACAUUUGGGUGUCGUAAUCUUCUCAUUAUCCGCACCUUAAGAGCAAAUAAAUAAAAAUUGAAGGCCAGGAACCAACUUUUCCAUAAAUAAUUAAUACUAUUAAAGUUUGUGCAGAACUAAACUAACAGGUCAGCACAUUGAGUGAAGUAUGACUACAGUCUAACCAGUAACCAAGUAUAACUUUUAUUGAAAAGGCAGCUGUCGCAGGUAAGGUAAUAUUAUCUUUGUUUGAACACAAAUGUAAUUGUUGAUACAGCAUGAUAUAUACCUCACUUCUAAAUUCUUCCAAAGCAUCACCCGAGAUAUCUUGGUGUAAGAACUUCUUAACUGCAACUUCCUACAAGGAGAAAAGAGCAUAUGCUAAGAAAGAACAAUCAACAAAACAACGGAGAAAAGUCAAUUAAUGGGUAGAGCUUCCGCCAAAGGUAAGAGUUAUAUGGCCGAAGGAGAGAACAGCUCCUAGUAAGUUUAAGAUCAGCUAAAGAGAAAAAAAAGGAGAUAGAAGAAAGGAAAUACACUAUCUUGAAUUUAGAGCAUAGACACAAUAUACAAGGCAGGUUACAGCAAUAAAAUAGGGGAACAUUGAAACUUGGUUGAAAAAUGGUUUUACAAUCAACAUAGACUUGGAUCUUCAUAUUUAAGCUGCUGACAAAAUGGUCGAAUGACCAGAAAUAAAGCAACAAAGGAGAUAUAAUAUUAUAAUGAGACAAUGGCCUUUCUUUAUCUGACAACAAAUGUAUCACAUUAACCCUAGGAAGAAUCACUUGAAAAUAUUAGAUGUUAUUCUCUGAACGCUCCAAAUAUAUUAUAAUUGACAUCAGUUUUCACAUCUAGAAGUUGUAAAAAACUCUUUGCCAUUAGAAGCAUAAGUAAAUUACUUGAACGAAUGAAAGGACUUACUGUUCCAUGCAACUCUCCCUUGUACACCUCUCCAAAGGAGCCUAGUAAGACAAGAAAUGUCACUCAUGAGAAAUAAGUGACUGUAAUAAACAAAAUAUUGUUCCUAAUAACAAAAUUUUGGCUUAAAUACUAUUUAUAUCACAUAAGAAUAUGAAGCACUAAAAGAUUUAGUAAAUGCAACUUCAUAAAAACCAUACCUAGACCUAUCCGUUCACCCAAAGUGAGGUCCUCCCAUUGUAUCUCAAGUUCCGCAACAUCAUCUAGAGCAAUAUCAGAUUUCGUGCUGUCAGUCCCAGUUGACUUUCCUGAAUUUCGUUCUGCUUCUUGCUGGUGAGUUUCACCCGUGCCUUUUUCUUGCUCAGGACCAUCAUGAUCAUUUUCUAUAUGCCGAUUAUCCCAAACAUCAUAUCCAGCUCCCUCAGUUGAAUCUGCUCCUUGACCAAAUGCAGGUAAAAAUGGUACAGGGACACGAGACUCCAAGUUCUCAUAUUGCCUACUAACAGCAGCAGUUGUCGCAACAACGGCAGCAGCAGUAACAGUAGCUGCAGCAGCAACAGGGACUUCAAUAUUCAUUUCUGCGCUCGAUUUAACUGCAGCAACAACCAUCGAAGAGGCAACAACAGCAGCUGUAGCAGCAGCAGCAGCAACAGGCAUGUGCUUUAUAAGCUGUAAUGGAGUCUCCUGCGAAAGCACAUCAGAAGCUUCGGAGGUAGAUGAAGUGCCAGCUGCUUCUCGGAAGUCAAGAGGGCGAUGAAGCCCCAAACCUUCUACAGGCUUCAACGGGCGGAUUCGGUUCGUGAUCUCGUCCUCUUUUUCACCCUUAUAUCCACUUUGAGACUUGUCUUCGGUCAUCAAAUCUUCCGAAUAUCCCGUAUACAAUUCCGAAAAUAAGUUAGGGGGUGCAAUAACUCCACUUUCGAGCAAUACAUCUUGAAGUUUUUGGGCUAAUUGUGGGUUUUCUUUAGCAGCGUCAAUCAUGUACUGUGAAACAUCCUGCACUUUCAUUUUGUUGACAGCUGAAGAAGAAUUGAUUCCAGCAAUCCUAGAAGGCGAUUUUGCAACAGUAAUACCAGACUUUUCUUGAGCUUUCACAGUUUUACUGAUGUUAGUAUCUCUAGAUUUGCCAAUGGGAUGUGCUUUUUCUUUCAUAUGCAGGUUGGUUGAAAAGUUCUUGAGCGAACUUAGUUUCUCACUUUCUUUAUUGCUGAACUCCAAUGUAUGAAUUCCACUAGUAUCUGAAGCUUCAGGAUAGCUAGACAAUGAUCGUUUAUCAAGCGGCUCACUAUCUAAAGAGCAACCAGCAGAACUUGAGACCCCGCUUACAGAAGAACCCAUAUGAACACUAUCAGCACCUUUGCUGAAAGGGCUAACUACAAAGAUAUUUUCUUCGUAGUCUUUUACCAGCCCAGCACCAUCCGAUGGGAUAAGAGUACCAGGAUAGGCCAUUAAAUCAACGAUGUACUCUCUGCGAUGCAAGAAAUAAACUUGUAAUGUUUAUGUUGAUAAUCAAUCAUCCAAUUUCAUAGAAAAUGAAUCUAACAUUCUAAGUUGAAUAUCUAAGCUAGGGAAUGAGAAUGUUCCAACUAUGUGAAACAACGAAAAAUUGUAUGAAAUAAAGGACAUAAAUAAAUCAGAGAAAUAUUGAGAGGUCUUAGUUUCUGGCAGCCUUCUUUAUAUGCGUAGUUUGAUUGAGCAAUCAAAUUAUCAAGCUUACAAUCUAUAUAGUAUGUCCGAAACUACAAGUAAACCAACAAUUGGGCCAACUUUCCAUGCCCAAGUGGGCUGGAAAUUACUAAACCAUGGGAAUAAUAUGGUAACUGUUGGGCACCAUAAAUGCAUUACCUUCCAUCCUUUACUUUUACGAUGUUCAAAGCCCCAUCAUCUGAUCCAGUAUAUUGCUUUCCCUUUACUAAUCGACAUGGAAUGCCCACACUAUCAGCCAAAACCUACAUAGAUAUUUGAAAAAAAUAACCCAUUUUUACAUCUCAUAUAACAAUGAAAGAGAGGGCUUCAAAAACGCAGCCAGGAGUAAUGUGCUGUAGUAUUAUUUUGACCCCAAAAAAAAAGUAUCAUGUGAUCCAUAAUAUCACACACGUUUCUUUGAACGAUGAAUGAUUUUUCAAGUUUUAGAACAACAUAUCGGUACAAAAGCAUGGGAGUCACCUGCCUAGUUUAAUCCACAACAAAUAAUUUUUUUAAUCAGGUUCUAUUUUUAAAAGCAAGCUGAAUCCAUUCAUAUUCAGGUCAGACCGAGUUAUGUUCUGAAACUUACUUGCAGAACAGGUUUGUUGUUUAUAUUGCCUGGGAUUGCUGAUAAGGAAAGGAGAAAAAAAUGCAAGAAUAAUUAUGAAGGAUCAAGUAUCUGUGACGUGUAAAUAUUACACAACUAGAACAGUAACACACUAAGGCAGUAUUAAAAUGCACAGCACAACUAUGUGUCACCCAUCACCAAAAAAAAAAAAAAAAAAAAAAAAAAACUGCAAACGGAACUAAAUUGUCUACAAAACUAACGUAAUAUUGCACAAAUAGAACAGUAAUGAUAACAACACCAAGGCAGUACUAAAAUACACAGCACAACUAUGUGUCACCCAUCACUAGCAAAACUGCAGAAGGAACUAAAUUUGUCUACAAAAUUAAUGUAUUUGGGAAAGGACUGUCAGGAUUUGAUCAAGUGAGAUUUGAAGUUUCAUAAUACAAAGCGGACCCAACAUAUUAACCGAUGCUAGCCAUUUUGAAAUGAUUUUCAGUUCGAUAUGGCAUAGUUUCUUUGGACUGGCUGUGAAUUAGAAUAACGGUAGACCAAUACUCGUGCGACCUUUUAUCUCGUAUACAGUAAGGGUAAACAAAAGAGCAUCUAAUAAGGAGGAAGAAAUCCUGACCUUGAAUAACAAUGCACGAUGACGAGCCAAACCAAUUGUUAAACGGCCAAGAGGCAAGACCAAAUUACCGACACUUUCUCGUAAAUAGCUACUGAGUUUUUGAUAUGACAUCAGCAUGCUUUCAGGAUCGUAAACUAUUCCACCCAUGUAGUUAGCUACCAAAUUAGCAAGCCUCUGCACCAAAGCACCCUCAACAAAGUCUGAAGACUGUGACCUUGCUUCACGGGCCAUGAUUAAGGCCUUCUUCUCAAGUUUUAAGAGGUCACCAUCUUCUGUUCUAUUAACCAACACAGCCUCCCAACUCACAUUAUCUGAAAAUGGUGCUCCUUGGAGAUCAAUAAGAGAAGGCAUCUUAGCAGAGUUAGGCUCAACCAUUAUGCCGUAGAGGUAAUAGAAACCAUCCAAGAUCUUAUCAUCAAAGUUCAAGGAGUUGUAAUUCUGUGGAGAACGAAGAAAUCUACAAUAUGAGACAAAUCAGAAAAAGAUAGUCAUAGAAAUAUGAAUGAGUAGAAUAUCUUGGUUAUCAUAAACUUAAAAGCACACAGGAAACAUGCCAUCUUAGAAAUAGCUGCCUGGCUGAAAAUCAUGAUAGUCAUGACAAGACAAAUCCUGAUCAACAGAAGAAGCGCUCUGCUAAAUCAGUUAUCAGAGAAAACUCAUUUCCAGACAAAAAGGGCAUCAUUUACAAACUGUUGCGUAGAGUAAUGAAUAAUGAUGAUGAGUAGACAAAUGUUUCUCACUUCAAACUCAAAUACUAUGAGUAGAAAAACAAGUGUCCUUUAAAAGGCGGCUGAAAACAAUGAGCAGUUAAUUUUUCAAACCAGUCUAAUGAAGCCAAUUUAUGGUACGGAUAUGGCAAAUUAAUAAGAUGACAAACUUACUACUGUGUUUUCUUUUUUUUGAUUUUUUUUUUUUAAAAAAAACAUGAAAUACUGAUUUAGUGGAAAACAUGAUUUCAACAAAGUGUAGUGCGGGGAAGAUGGAAUAGUGAUUUAGUGGAAUCGAAAAAUACAAUUUCUUUUUUGAGAUUACUAAAACAUAAAACAGAAUACUGCAUUCAUCCACAGUUUCCCAACAACAUCAUCCUAGUCUUGUACAGUUGCGGAGGUGGUCAAAUUUUAUUCCUGCUCCGUGUCCCAUCUCUAGCAUAGCCUCAAUUAUACCAGAGAUAUAUUAUAUUUAUCAUCUAACAAACCCUAGAAAGCAAAUUAGGCAUGCUAUCAAUCCGAAACAGGAACUCUUUACUUCAGUCUAGCAAAGUCAAAAUUGAAACAUGCUGUCUAAACUGCAAACAUUGCAGUUCCUAGCUGAGUCAUUGUCCAUUUUUCUAGUUCCUUUCUUUUCUCCAACUUUCUCUCGAAGCCAUUACAAGGACUUCUCAUAGCAUUAUUUUCUGAUGAUCUCAAAAUUUACCCAUACUUUCUCUUUCACAAUCUUACAACAUCCCUGGUGAACUAAAUUGCAGGACUCAAGAACUCUUAUGAUCUCCUACAUAAACUCGGACCGUGGCUCUUGUUGCGUAGCCGUAAUGCCACGAAUGACACUCAAAACGACAUCAACCGCACAUAUUUGAAUGGCUCUCAACAAUUACUUGCACGGUUUAAUUGGCGGAGCAAGUUUCCUUUGUUUCCCGGGCGAUCGAUCGAGUGAAGUUUCUGAUGACUCGAGAACAUAGUUGACAUUUUCAAUAAUGGAGAUUCGGUUUUAAAAAGACAAAAAGAAAAAACGAAAACAGAUAUAGGAUAAGGUAAUUGAUGGAGAACUGGAAACUGACCCAGUAUCUGUAAGCAAGAACCUCGGCCGGGGUGCUCUCGGGCGGGCACGAACCGAGGCUGAUCUGCUUCACGACCUCGAUCUGGACCGCCUCCGGGUCCUCCCUCGCGCUCAUCUCCAGCGCCAGCUGUAUCUGAUACUCCUCCUCCAUAUCCGUCUCCGCCGCUGCCGCCCCAGUCCUCUUCGCUUCUAUCGCCGCCGCAUCCGCAGCCGCCGACGUCGUCGCCGACGCCGACGCCGGUGACGACGCCGAAGGCCCCGCCUCCCUCCUCUCUCCCCUGUGCGAAGAUGACGGUGAUGACGACGACGACAACAACUGCGGCGGCGUCGGAGGAGGAGGAGAACCCUGACCCGAAGGGCCGUGCUUCCCGGUAACGGAGUUCAACCAAUUGGAAAGCCCCGACAAGGGCUUCGGCUCUUGAUUGCCGCCGCCGCCGCCGCCGCCGCCGCCCUUAGUCGAGGGGGACGAGGGCCCAUCGUCGCCGUGGGAUUGGCUCGGCCCGAUGUGGAGCUUCUUUAAGAGGUUCUUCAUACUCCUCCUUCUCUCUCUCUCUCUCUCUCUCUCUCUCUCUCUCUCUCUCCUCCAGCUACUACCACUACUACUACUACUACUAUUGGAGCAUCGAAGGAUCAGAGAGGGGUCGAAGCAGUAGUAGUAGAAGCAGUAGGUAGAGGAAUUAGGGGAGAAGAGGGGAGAUCCAAGAUGCCCAUUGGGGUGCUUCGUACGUGCGGCGGUUGACCGACUCAAGAUUGGCACGGGGGAGCGGGAUUAUUACAAAGUAAAAGGAAAAAUAAUAAUAAUAGUGGGGGUUAUUUCUCUUUCUUGGGUACAGCAGUACAGCCUGACAGGAGAUAGAAGAAGAGACGAAAGCGGGGUGGGGAAGCGCAGCGCACACAGCGGGGAAGCACGAUAAAAAAAACAGGAAAAAGGAGGGGAUGGAGACCAAGUUGGACUGAUCGGGAUGCGGCGGUGGGGCCCGCAGGAGGAAAGGGAGAAGCCGGGUUGAGGCGCCCCACUUGGGCAGUCGGACCAACUGGCUCCUCUUGAGGUCCGGGCCGAGCUCCGCGUAGGCUCGCAUGCCGCGGAGCCGACGUGAGUGCCUCGGGCUUUUACCUCGAGCGGAAUUCGAGAGGAAAUCGCCAGAAAUCAUCCGCGGACCCACUCCACCGCGUCGUCCGUGAACCGCCCUAGGCUAGUCCUGCGCAUGUUCUCUCUCUUACGGAUCACUCAGGUUCACGCACAAGAUAGUCAAAUAAGAUGUUGUAUUCUUACCGACCGUUAUUGGGGCAUGUUUGUUGGUUGUUCAAAAAUGGAUGAAGCGAAAAAAAUCACUUUUACAAAAGUAAUUUUUACAAAAGUAACUUUUCAGUCUAAUUGUUUGGUUGACUAUAAAUAAAGUUAAAAAUUAAAACUAUAAUUUUGUUAUUUUGAUUAUUAAAUUAUAUAUAAAUAGAUGAAAAUAUAAACAAACGAUGCAUUUUAAAUUAAAAUUUUAAAAUUUAUAUUUAUAUUUAGAAUUUAAUAUUACAUUUUAAAAUUUAAAUUCAAAAUUUAAUUAAAAAUAAAAUUUAUAAAUUUAAAUUUAAAUAUAAAGCCACAAAUUUGAAUUUAAAAUUUAUGUUAAAUUUUAAUUUAUAAAUAAAUUUCAGAAUGUAAUCAUAAUUUUAAUUCAAAUUUAAAGUAAAAUUAAACUUUAAAAAUAAAUUUUUAAAUAUUAAAGUUAACACCAAAUAUAACCUCUUAGUUAAGCUCUCCACUUUCAGUGACUUCCAAAUUUUUUGAACUGAGGUCAAAAAAGUGUGAUUUAAUUAUAACUCACUUUAUUAGCCCACUUUCGUAAAAUGACUUUCAUAUUCACUUUCGCAAAACAAAUAACUGAUAAAGCGUCACUUUCUAAAAGUAUCACUUUCGAUGCUUCACUUUCGGCGACCUAAACAUGCCCUUAGUGAAAGUGACAAAUAAUUUAGUAAUUGGUACUCGAAAUUUUAAAUUUUAAAUUUAGUUGAUUUAUAUUUUUAGUUAAGUUUAUUUCUAAAUAAAAUAAACGAAAUAGGUAGCAUACUAUCUAUCUCUUAAAAAAAAAAUGCCGCAUUUUUUAUCUUUGUAAAAAAAUUUAGAGACUCUAAUAAGCAAAAUUUUACAAGUUGAAUGAGGUAUACAGGCAUGCCCAAAUGACAACGAAAAAAAAAAGAGUAUAUAGAGCGAUGUAUAAUAUAGUCACAUUUGUCUUUUAUUAUAUACAUUAUUUUUUGCACUAUGAGAAUCCAAUGAAGAAAAUUUGAUUUUGAUAAAAUAUUUAAAAAUGUAGCAAGAAAAGUCAUUUGAGAUAAUUUUCGUAUUAUUGGACUGAGCUAAUAUGGCCUUAUUUGACUAGUUAGGAAUCAAUUACGAAAAAAAAUUUUCAAUCUUAAUUUUUCUUACUAAUUUUAUCAUGUUCACAAAGUAUGUAUAUGAUAAAAAUUUUAAUUUAUUGGGUUGUGAGAGUUGACGAAAUGAUGAGAUAUGCAAAACAACAUAUGCUUUUGGAUUCUCUAUUUUGUAGCUAAUUAAUUUUUAGCAAUUGCAGAUUUUUGGGGACGUAGCCAUCCAUUUGAUGAAUUGCUACACCCUGUCUAGGCAAUAAUAUAAUUUGUGAUAGGGAGCGGGGGAAAAUACUGUCACGUGUGAGCCGUACGAGUUAAAUUGCAAUACAGCUCUAAACCAGCCACUUAUUAGAGAGCUGUCCUUUUUGGUGCACUCCAGUGGGCUUUGUCCGGACAUUAAUUUAUUGAGAGAAUGGAACUAAAAGAUUAUCUUUUUUGUACUAUUGUUGUGCAAAACAAAGCAUAUUCUAAGUUACAAAAUGUACUCAUGGUGCAUCGCCAGCCCAUUGUGUCUGGCAAGUGCUGCUCUGUUUCUUUUUCUUUAAAAAAAUAAUAUAAUAUAAAACCUGAGCUCUAACUCCUGGACUAACCGUAUUUAGAUUUAGGACUAUUAAAACUGACUUUUAAAUUUCUCUGCGAUUUGUGAGCAUGUAAAAACAAGGAGAAAUAGAUUCUUAACUUGCAGUUGGUACAUAUAUUAUAAUUUUGUAUUCGAUGAUCCAAGAUAUUCACCAAAUUCUAUUCUUGUAGUAAUAGCUCUUAGAUAUACAUCUCUGAUCGAUUCGCAAUACAACUUGCUACACAAUGUGCCCUUUUUCUUCUUAAGCUUAUCGCUUAACUGGUCUCUAGGGGUUGAAGGAAUAAUUUCAACAAAGCUUCAUCUUUUCUCUAAAGCUCCCUUUAAUUUAUUGGUUUUUUUUUAUAUAUAGAAAAGACUUCCGAAUCAGUCUAUUAAGUAUUUGAGCCCUAAUAGAAAGAUCUUAGAUAGACUAUAUUCCAGAAGCCUUAUACAUCGAUAUCACAGAAUCCUAACCUUUCCCAAAAAAGACUAGAUAUUCACACAUACUUACCUCCCUACUUUCUAAUCCGGAAAAGUAGAGCUAUAAAGAAGUAUAUAAAAGAGGAUAACGACCAAUCAGAUGAUCGAAUUUUAUCAACAUUACCGGCUUAAUUAACUUAAGAAAUGAUUUCUGGUGGGCUAAAUAAAUUUAGCUGGCCAGAGUAUUUUUCUUUAUCUUCUUCUUUUGUUUAGCCCACAUGCUUCCAAAAAAUAAGUGAAUGCUGACAUCUGCAAACUUUAGCCUGCAACAUGCUAAGACAGGCAAAGGAUUAGGUUUGUUAUUUGAUGGUCCCAUACCAGCUCCUAUAAAUUCUGACUGAUUUUUGAGGCAUUAAAUACUAGUAUCAUUUGAGAUUAGAGUUUUAUUAUGAGUACCCUCAAGAUUACCCCCUAGUGUAACCUCUAUGUCUCAAAGAAAUUGUUGCCUCCGCCCGCUGCACGAGCGAAACUUACGCUCUGCACGCAACAUUCAAUUUUAAUAUCUUAGAAUCAAAAUUUAAUAUGAUCUGAAGCGUCUAAAGUAACAAAUAAUUCCAAAGUCCAAUGGUAUAGAAAGAAAUUCACAAAAAAAGAGAAUCCAAAAUUUAUGACUUUGUGUAUUUAGACUUUUGGAAUGAUGUAUGACAUAUCCAACAACUAAUUUUUUAAAUAUUUUUUUCCAGUUAAUUGGUAGGUGGGUACCUUUAGUUUGGAAAAAAAAAAAAAAAAAAAACGUUAAAAAAAUUAAAGAGUAUACACUAGAGGGUACCCUUAUAAGCAUUUUGCUUCGAGAUAACAUCUUCCAGGCUCCACCAAAGUCUCAUGCUGCUUCCGUAAAAGGGCACUGAGAAUGAGGAGAAAAUGAGUUUUCCUUUCCCUUUCACGCCAACGCUUCAGAGCAUUUAUUCCCCCAUUCUUAAUGUGAUUCGGGCUAUCGAUGUAUUCAAUCAGUUUUUUCAAAUCCAAGCAUCAGAUUUUUUUUUUUUUUGAACUGUUCUUGUGAAUUUUAAAUUGAUUUUUAGUGGCCUAUGAAAUUUGUUAUCUAUUUUUACCUAUCCUAUACGGAGAAGCAUGGGGACUUCAUAUAUAUAUAUAUUUUUAAUUCAAGAGAUUUCUCAUACUUCUAUUAUAACGUGGAAUGCAUAUUUUUCUUCAUGUAAGCAGUACUUCGCUUGAAAUUGCUCGUUGACCCGUUUGCAUUUUAACUUAAAAUAAUCCUUUCUUGGGCCCGUGAACAUAAUAAAUUCAUGUAUGCGUGAGUGUGUGCUAACUCUCAUUGAUGUAAACUUUAUCUCAACGAAUCUGAGAGCAGUAGGAAUCACCCGAUCAAUUAAAUGUUUUACUAAGUUUUAAUGGAACGCUGACAUAAUUACAUAUUAAAAAAUGUUAUUGAUGAGUUAAUUAUUAUCUACAUGAAGCUUAGUGGUUGAUUUUUUUUCCUGAUUGAUAUUGCAAGUAAUUUGGUUUUUCAAAUUUUAAAUUAAAACUGUCUAACACGAUAUCGAAAAUAAAUCGGCUCAAGAGUCUCAUCAUGCCUAUUGUGCGUCACAAAAAAAUUCUAUACAUCUAUAAUGCAAUAGCAAUCUAAUAAAUCCUUCAGACGAGCCAUCGUCCACUGAAAUUUAAUGACAAAUUUUAUUAACAAUAUCAAAUAAUAAAAAAGCUUGACCGCAUAGAGGCGGGGCCACUAGACCAAUGCCCCUCAUAAUGUGGUAUAUUUAAUUGGAAAUUGGGAGCUUAAGAAAUCAAAAUUUAUUACUAUAUUAAAUAAUAUAGAAUUCAUAAAUGAGUGAUUGGAUGGGCAAAUGAUGUGGAGGGUACCAAUAGACAAAGAGGAUUUAGCAUGAUUGGUUGUGAUGAUGCUGAUGGCCCAAUCUCGACAGCUACUGUAAUGAUGGAAGAGAUAACAACCGGCCUUUGCAAUUGUUGCGGUUAUACAUUUCUUUUUUAUAAUAUAUAUAUAUAUAUAUAUAUAGAGAGAGAGAGAGAGUGCGGCUAAGAUGCUUACGAAAGCACGGAGGGCUCCGUACUUCUACUUUAUUUUCGAUGUUCGGACUUUCGAAUCGACGAUCGGCUCCGUUAGACUUGAUCUAGAGUAUUUGAAGUAUCUAGAAAAUAAAUUUUGCGAUUUUUCGAUAUCAUUUGCCUAGUGAUCGAAGUGGCUCAAAAUCAACGACUGAAAAUAAAAAUCUUACAAAAUAUGAUGAUAUGAUAUUAAAAUUUUAGAUCAAAGUUAUUGAUCUUGUUUUAUAUGGUAUAAAAAAUUUUCUAUCAAAAUUUCAUGUGAUUUGGAUAUUUCUACACCGUUAAACUUGCAACCGGCUCACCACGGCCUUUAAAUUAUUGAUUUUGAGGCCCUUCGAUCACUAGGCAAAUCAUAUCGAAAAAUCACAAAAUUUAUUUCUAGGUACUUCAAAUACUCUAGAUCAACCUAACGGAGCCGAUCGUCGAUUUGAAAGUCUGAACAUCGAAAACAACUUGGAAGCACAGAGAGCUCCGUGCUUCCAUAAGCAUACCAGCCCACUAUAUAAUUAUAUAUAUAUAUAUAUUAUAUAGAGAGAGAGAGAGAGGAGAGAGAGAGAGAGAGAGAGAGAGAGAGAGAGAGAGAGGAGAGAGUCCGCUAGGAUACUAUCGAUAGCAAGAGCUUGGUGCUAUCGAGUUUUCUACCAUUAGAUUUAACACCUGAUUAUUUUUACCGUUAGAUUAUACUAUUAACCAACCACCCACUCAACCUAGGAGGCUCACAUUAUCCUAACCGCACAUUUCUCAAUCCAAUGGCUAAAAAACUAAUAACACAAAUAGUUUGGUGCUACUGAUAGUAUUACGUCUAGUUCUAUUAAUAUAUAUAUAUAAAUAUAUAUAUAUAUAUAUAUAUAGAUCGGCUACUAUGCUAUUAAUAGCACGAAGCACUUGGUGCUACCAAGUUUUCCGCCGUUAGAUCUACCCUUUGGAUCAUUUUCACCCGUUAGAUCAUACUAUUCAACCAACCACCCACUCAACCCUAGGGGGCCCACAUCAUCCUAACCACACAUCUCUUAAUCCAAUGGCCAAAAACUUGGUAGCACCAACGACUUGGUGCUAUUAAUAGCAUAGUAGCCUAGUUCUAUAUGAGUCCGGCUACUAUGCUAUUAAUAGCACGAAGCACUUGGUGCUACCAAGUUUUCCGCCGUUAGAUCUACCCUUUGGAUCAUUUUCACCCGUUUUCUAGAACAUUUAAAACUUCUAGAAAUUAAAUUUUAUAAUUUUUCGAUAUCAUUUACCUUACAAUCAAUAGCUCACAAAAUUGACAAAUUUUAACGGCCGGUAUGUGAUACUUGUUAGUUUAACGGUGUAAAAGAAUCGAAAUAGCUUGAAUUUUUUAUAGAAAAUUAUAUUCAUUACCUAGAUAAAGAUCAAUAACCCCGAUCUUAAAUUGAAGGAUCCGAUCAUCUAUUUUUAGGACGUCAUUCGAUUUUGGCCGUUCAUUUUAUAUCCACUUAAUGGACUUUAUAAUGAUUUCGAAAAGUUACGAAAUUUAUUUUCUAUAAGUUUCAAAUACUCUAGAUCAUGUUUAACGGUGUGGAUCGUCGAUUCGGAAGCCUGAACAUCGAAAACAACUUAUGAGUACGAAGGACUCUAUACUCAUAAGAGUAUAGUAGCCCUACUAUAUAUAUAUAUAUAUAUAUAGUGAGGCUACUAUGCUUCUGGAAGCACGGAGCCUUCCGUGCUUCCAGAUCGUUUUCUAUGUUGCGACUUUCGAAUCGUCGAUCGGCUCCAUUAAACUUGAUCUAUAGUAUUUGAAGUACUUAGAAAAUAAAAUUUGCAAUUUUUCGAUAUCAUUUGCCUAGUGAUCGAAAGAACUCAAAAUCAAUAAUUUUAAUGGCCGUGGUGAGCUGUUUGCAAGUUUAAUGGUGUAGAAAUAUUCAAAUCAUAUGAAAUUUUGAUAGAAAAUUCUUUAUAUUAUAUAAAACAAGAUCAAUAUCUUUGAUCUAAAAUUUUAAUGUCAUAUUAUCACAUUUUGUAAGAUUUUUAUUUUCAGCCGUUGAUUUUGAGCCCCUUAGUUCGCUAGGCAAAUGAUAUCGAAAAAUUGCAAAAUUUAUUUUCUAGGUACUUCAAAUACUCUAGAUCAAGUUUAACGGAGCCGAUCGACGAUCCGAAAGUCGCAAUAUUAAAAACGAUCUGAAAGCAGGAAGGUUCCAUGCUUCCAAAGCAUAGAGCUUCACUCAUAUAUAUAUAUAUAUUAUAUUAUUAUAAUAUAUAUAUAUAUAUAAUAAUUUAAAACUUUAUAUUUAUAUUAUAAAUAUUUUUAUAUGAAAGAAACUAAAAUAUAUUUGAAAUUCAGAAUUGGAUAUGGGUAUAUGAUGUAUAAAUUUUUUUCAGUGUUUAGGUUGCCCGGUUAGUAUAUAUAUAUAUAUAUUAAAAAAAUAUAUAUUUUAAGUUUUUAGAAAAUAUGGCUUGUUUCAAAUUACUUAUUGUUUCAAGGCGCGGAUAGGAGAAAGCUUGAUGGUUGACAUUUGAGGUUUUAACUUCGAAAGUUAGUAGCUUUACAUUUUUAGCUAAGUUUAUUGUUGAAAAUAAUAAACGAAAUGAAAAGCAUGCUAUCUUUUUCUUUUAAAAGAAAACGAUUAUUUCAAAUUCUUUUAAUAUUAGAGGAUAAAGAAAAGAAGAGUUGCCUAUAUUAAAAGUGCUAUUCAAGAUAACUUAAUAUGAUCGAACCGUCCCUAGAACAAGUGGCAAAGAGCUUGGUGGUUGGUAUCCGAGACCGAACUUCGAAUCCUAGUUGAUUCACAUUUUCAGCCGGAUAGCGUACUAUCUAUCUCUCAAAAAAAGAAGAAGAAGAUAACUUAACAUGAGAUACAAAUAACAAUUUUAUUAAACAAUGUAUCUCAUUUAUAUAAUUUUUUUAUUUAGUAUACCCAGCUUCAUCUUCCAAUUUCUACUGGUAAAAUUCUAUUUCCAUAUCUCAAACCUAUUUCACAUAUUGAUACUGCAAUAAUUAAAAGAGAGUUGAUACGGACACAUUAAAUUUUGUUAAGCCCAAAGUGAAUUUACCUUUUCUUUUCCAUCACUCUACAAUUAUACUCUCAUUCAGUGGAAAGUAACUUUUCACUUAUGAGGGAACCGGAUUAAAUUGAGCAAAAUUAAAAGUAAUUAUUUUUCAAGCCAAACGCGCAUCACUUUUUUUUAAAAAAAAAGGCAACAUGCUACCCGCUUCAUUCAUUCAGAAGAUGAAUUAAACUACAUGGGUGAGGCAACACAGACCUCGAGGAUGGCGGAAAAAAAAAAACAACAUUAUUGCACUGAGCGCAGUUUCUCCCAAAGACUCAUCAACAGUUUAAUCUUAUAAAUUUUAAUGAUGGGGUCAGGCUGUGUUGUCUUGAAGAUCACUCCAUUCCUAAUCUCCCAAAGGGCCCACCAGCAGGCUAUUAGUCCAUUUAGGUCGGUGCAUCACUUUCUUAAAAAUCAACUUCUCUCUCUUUUUCUUUUUCUUUUGAUUUUAACAGGAAUGCCAUCUAAGCUACAGAGAAAAAAAAAUCCCUGAAAAAGAAGAUAGAAAGAGAGAAAACAUAUAACUUCUUUAUUUUUGAAUAAAAUUACAGAAAUUAUAUUAGAACCUAAUUAUUAGAUUAAAAUACUAUUAAUAGCACGAAGAAGUCAUUGAUACUAUUAAGUUUUCGGUCUUUAAAUAAAAAAAUAUGUAGUUAGGAUGAUAAUAGUCUUAUUAGGGUUUAGUAAAUUGAUAUAAUAGUAUAAUUUAAAGGAAGAAAAUGAUCAAAUUAGUCGAUACUAAAUGCUUAGUGCUAUCAAUUAUAUAAUAUAAUUUUUUAAUAAAAUAUUUUGUCGUAGGCAGUGCAUGCACGGCCUACGUUCUCUCGGCCCAGCGGGAGUGGAGGACGAGGCUAUCUCCGGACGGCCCACGGUCACCAAAUUUGGACGGCCAAGAUCGCUUUGUAGGCCGGCGAAACCGCAGAUCGCAGCCGCACACCUCCUACAGUAAAAAAAAACAACCCGUGGGUCCCACCCCCAUAAUUUCCUAUCCCUGUCGUCAACUGACAAAAAUUAUACGGGGGAAUAGCCCGAAACAAGUUUGUUGGGGCCACUCCCGGAUGUGCGCCACGUGGCAGCCGAUCCACGCGGAUCCAUCGGUCUCGUUGCUCUCCCUGUUGGGAGAGCAGUCUAUUUUUUUUUUGUGCACCCGGUGCACUAGUUUGUUUUAAAAUUUUAUUUUUUAUUUUUUAAUUAUAAUUUAAUAAUAUAUAUUAUGAUAUUUUUAAAAUAUAUGUAAAAUAAUUUAGAAUUUAUGAUUUUACAUAUAUAUUUAAAUAUCAUAAAAUAUAUAUCUAUUAUAUUAAAUUAAANAUUUAAAAAUAAAAAUAGUGCACCGGGAGCACCGAAAAAAAUCCGCUGCUUUCCCAAGAGGCAGGGCAGCGGGGACGGUGGCCCGGGGUGCCACGCGGCGCCCAUCCAGACUGUCCUCAAAAAAAAAAUUUUGGACAUGUUGUCCAUAAAUUUUUUGCCCGUCAACGUAAGAAGCAGAAGCAGAAACCGUAGCUCGGUAGCUCCCCUCCAAAACCAAACGCAGCAUCGGCAUCGGUUCCUCCGUCCCUUCGCCUUCCCCGCCUCAUCCGUCCCCACCAAACCAAAGCAUCCGCAUACUUCAAAAAAAGCAAAAAAAAAAAGAAAAAAAAAGAAAAAACAAGAAAAAAAAAAAGAGAGACAUAUAUAUAGGACUCAACGAGGAGACUCGGAGGUGCGCCGUGCGAUGGCUCUCCACGCCGCCGCUUCCUCCGUCGCCGCGUUCGCUUCGAACUCCCGACUCCGCCCCACCAACUCUCCCUCGCCGAGGGCUUUCCCCACAACGCCUCUUUUCCCUUCUUCUUCCUCCUCCUCCUCUUUCGCCCCUCUCCGUACACAUACAGGUUUCGCUCUUUCUUCCAAACUAUGCAUAUUUCAACUGAAUUUAUGUCGCAAGCAAAGAUUAUAUUAAUCUCUAAUUUUGCCUUUAUUAUCGUUGCUAUACCAAAAAAUAAAUCCUUUUUUUUUUUUCUUCUUUUGUGCGUGUGUGUGUUGAAUUGGACUGUACGAGCUAAGUUGAUUGCCUUCAGUACAGUAGAGUUACUUUCUAACACUAGUAAACUUUUUCGUUGCCAUCUGUUAGGGAUUUUAGGAAUAGCCUGCUGUCCCUGUACUGAAUUGCAAUUGUUGUCGUAGGUUGCGUAAGAGCAGCUGCGGGCAGCAAUGGAGUUCUCGCGGCCGGCGAAUCUCCGCUCAUAGUGUGCUUCGGAGAAAUGCUGAUCGAUUUUGUCCCGACCGUCAGCGGCUUGUCGUUGGCCGAAGCCCCCGCCUUCAAGAAGGCUCCCGGGGGUGCUCCUGCUAAUGUCGCCGUUGGCAUAGCUCGGCUCGGCGGUUCGUCGGCAUUUGUCGGGAAGGUGAUGCCCGGUAGAUAGUUCGUUUAUUUAUAUCAAAUUUAGGACACACCUUAUUCCUGCUUUCUUCGCGUUUGUAAGAAAUUUUUUCAAAUGUAAGUAAUUAUCUGUGAAAUCGUGGAUUACUCACUUUAUGCAAAAGAGCUACUUCUAUGGUUGUGAAUAUUGUCGAUCAUCUAAACUGUUUAUCUGCUAUCUUUCUCUCAUUUCUCGGUUUGUCCUGUUUGUUUCGUAACAUACGUAGGUCGGUGAAGAUGAGUUUGGCUACAUGUUGGCUGAUAUCUUGAAAGAGAAUAACGUGAACAACCAGGGCUUGCGGUUCGAUCCUGCUGCUCGAACAGCUUUGGCCUUUGUAACGUUACGAAGCGACGGCGAACGCGAGUUCAUGUUUUAUCGCAAUCCUAGCGCUGAUAUGUUGCUUGAAGUAAACGAACUUGACCUUGAUCUUAUAACAAAGGUAUGUGAUGAAUGAUGACCUUGAUCUUAUAAUUAGAGAGUUCCUACUAUAUAUACCUUACUUCUGUCGUGUAUGGUUUACACAGAAUUUACCUAUUUUAUAUUUAUAUAAUGUAAUUCUAACAUCUUGAUCAUUAAUAUCUGUUCUAGGCAAAGAUCUUCCAUUAUGGUUCUAUAAGCCUUAUAACUGAACCAUGUAAAUCGGCACACGUUGCAGCAGCUAAAGCUGCUAAAGAUGCUGGAGUGCUUCUGUCUUAUGAUCCAAAUCUGCGUCUACCGCUGUGGCCGUCGGCCGACAGUGCUAGAGAGGGAAUCUUGGGCAUAUGGGAAAUUGCUGAUAUUAUCAAGGUAGCUACUUUUCUAAUGCAGUGCUUCUUGAAAUAGUUUCUUGAUCUUAUUUAGCUCAAUGUAUUGGAAAUUUGCAAUAGAUCAGCGAAGAAGAGAUUUCCUUUCUGACGAAAGGAGAGGAUCCUUAUGAUGAUGCUGUUGUGCGAAAACUCUUCCAUCCAAAUCUUAAGUUGCUGCUAGUAACAGAGGGGCCGGAUGGUUGUAGGUACUAUUCCAAGGUAUGUAUUUGCCUAUGCAAUUUCUCAAAGCUCUUUGUUAUCGUUGUCUAAUUUCCACCAGUUUUGUUUCUCUGGUGCAAAACGAAAUAUAUAUAUAUAUAUAUAUAUAUAUAUAUAUAUAUAUAUAUAUGUCUACUUAUUACUGAGGAAAACAACAGAAGCAACUUGGAAGAAAAUUGAAAUUGUAAUUGAAAUUGACAUGGCUAUCCAUGAAAUCUCGUGUCCUCUUCCUUUGCUGGACUCAGUUUUUGCACUUUGCCGCCUGUGAUUAUACUUCUACAUUUUGUUAAUAAAGUUUUCAUUAUUAGAUGUCCAAAAUACCCAGUUAUAUGUCAGAAUAAGAUCAAACUAAUUGAAAAGCCAAAAGUACCAAUCUUAACAUAUAUGAUUUCAAAUAAUAUAGGAAUUUAGUGGGAGAGUAAGUGGACUAAAGGUGACAGCUGUGGACACUACUGGUGCUGGAGAUGCCUUUGUUGCUGGAAUACUAUCUGGAUUGGCCUCAGAUUUUUCAUUGCUCCAGGUAUUACUCUCUCUAACCUACAGUUGUACCAAAAUUCAUUUUUAUGUUAUGUUGAUGUUCUACAUUUCUGUUUCUUUUUUUUUUUAUUUUUAAGCAUAUAGUAUAUUGCAUGCAGCAACCACAGCUUAUUCUCUUCUAAAUUCUAACCUGUGAAGUGAUACUCUGAUCGAGACUUACUGGAACUAUCUUUGAAUAUUAACAGGAUGAAGGAAGGCUAAGAGAAGCUCUGAAAUUUGCAAAUGCUUGUGGAGCUCUCACUGUGAUGGAAAGAGGAGCAAUCCCUGCACUACCAACCCGUCAGGCCGUUCUCGAUGCAUUGGUUAACAUAAUUGCUUAAACUAUUGCUAGUUAUAAUCCCGGGCUCAUUCAUUGUUCGCGGCCUUGUAAAAUGAUUUAGCUUUUAGAGAACCAUAUAUUCAGUGAUUAAUUUUCAAUUGCAACUUCCCGACUUCCUGUUAAGAAACAAAACAGCUUUGCCGAAAAACUCGACCAUGUACUGUUGUACUCUAAAUUAGUAUCAAAAUAAGCUGUGGAUUGAGCUAGUCUUAUUUGUAAAUGGCAUUUGGUGUAGAGUGUGUGAAAAAUUAAAGCACCAUACUUGCUUAAUGACUUGGUUUGAGCUACUCUUAUUUGUAAAUGACAUUUGGCGUAGAGUGUGUAAAAACCUGAAGCACCAUACUUGCUUAAUGACUUAAUUGGGCCACACGCCAUAAUGCCCUUGAUUGCCUGGCAUAACAACAGUAAUACGGCUCCGAUUGACCAUUUAGUUUGAUUAAUUAUCGACCAUUUAGUUUGAUUAAUUAUUGAGCGCCUUUUCCACAUGUUAUGUGAUUAAUGAUUGCAUCUGGUGACUUAAAAUGGACAAUAUGAUGAUUCAAAACAACCUAAUAAUGGAUUAAUGCAAGUUAAAGGAAAGGUAUGUAUAAAAAUGACCAACAUUAGGAGAGGGAGGUAGCAGUGCCCCGUAAAGGGCCCAUAAAAGUUGGAGAGCACAUUUUUUGGAAUAUAUAUGGAAUAUAUAGCACUGUUCGCAUACAUAAAAGUGGGUGUGUAGAGCACAAUACUUAUCUAUAGAUACUGGAAACAGAGAAGAAGUGUUGGUUUCCACUCAUAAGAACCAGAUUCUUGCAAGACACAGUUACCAGAAGGCCAACACACGACAACAAAUAUUUUGGUGUACCCGAUCAAACGCAUCAUGCAACGUCUUUUAAACAUAAGAAACAUAAUCGCUUGUAUUUCAUUUGGUAGUAUUAAGAACUAGAUCAAUGUCGACAAAUUGAUAAUGGUUGCCCCCCUCCUCAACUAAAAAAGUGAUUAUCAACAAAUGAUUGAUAAUAUAUACCACCGGUGAGGUCGCCAAAUAAUAUCACUCGAGAAGCUUAUUGCAUGUCCCAACUCCAACCGCCGCCGCAAGGUGCCAUGCAGCAUGAAGAUAGGGGGUCUCGGGAAAGCAGUCGUCGGCGAAAAAUAGUGCACCUCCUAAUAGAGAGGAAACUGUGUGAAGGUUAUGAGCCAUUCUGAGCGCUGGUUUCUCCAGUGCUUUUCUUGCGAAGGCUACCUGAAAAACACCAAGUCAACAGAUUAUUAAGAAUCUCAAGAAAGCAAACCGUUGAUGUAACCAUCGUCUGUAAAGAGAUGUGAGCUGCUUAUCAGCAGAAACAUUAAGGAAUAGAUGCAGUUCCAAUGGGAAACUGUUGAAUUUCUAUUGAUAAAACAUAAGAAUAGAUGCUUUAUUAUGACUUGCCUCCAUCAUGCCUGUGUGGACAGCUGAAACCAUCAAAGGUUGAAAUGGUAAAAGCAAUGUUGAUGCGGCCAUUAGUACUUUUGGGUUCUCUUCCCUGAGUGCCCUUGAUAGACACUGCACAGAACGAUUGUCUAGUAAGGUACAGGAAGAAAAGGUAACUCGCCCCUCAAUUGAAACUUCCCGUUCGGGAUAAAUAAUAGUAAAAGUUAUUAUGAGGCUCUUUCAGCGAAACAAAUCGAUUCUUUGCCAUUCCUAGAAAAUACAUGUAUGCCCGCUAAGCCACUACAUAGGAACAUAGGAACAACUUAAGAAGCCAAAAACAUAUGAACACGUUUGAUUCUAGCUUAUAUUUUAGGCUAGGCAGGUUUAAUGAACUGAUACCAAAUGCUUUAGAGACCUUUUUCUGCUUAAUUAUCUUCUCUCUUAUGUAUCGAUAGCAGCGAAACAAAAAUAAGAAAAUGUAUGUUUGCGCACUCUCAUGUUCUUGUGCACUCUCAUGUUCUUGCGCAUUCUCAUGUUCAAGGAAUUCAUUUAGAUCGUUGACCAUUUUUUCAGAGGAAACUCCUCAAAUAUGCACAACCAGUUGGUAAGCGUAUCAAACUUACAAGUGAAGCUGCAGCAAUCAUUGUAUAGUCUGCCCAUCUCAGAUAUUUUCUAACUUCUCCCCUUGAAGAAUGAUAUAAGCUUGAUGCGAUCCCCACUCCAACAAGCGAAUUAGCAUAUAAUGCAGUAUUCAAGUUCUUCCUGCAGCACUGAUAGGUAAUUCGUCAGUCGAUAGUGGUAUAAAGAAACAAACGAGGGUGGGGUAUACAACUAAAGGCAUUCUAAUACGAAUAAAUUUUGAAAAGGAACUUGCCGUGGAGCCCGAAGUCCGAGAAAUAUGAAAGGCAUUGAGGUCAAGACAUUUGCAAUAGUUUCCCCGAUAUGACUAUCGCCUGAUACAGGAGAUAUAUACGCAUGUCAAAGCUGAUGCAUAAAAGAAAUUGUUGGAUGUGCGCACCAAUAACGGCCUAAGUAGAAAAUACCUUGCAGACUACAUUUGAUGGGCCUCAAGCACGACGGCCUCUGCUGCCAUAGUUGCCUGAGGAAACAUGUCAUACAUUACCCUGUUAGUUAUAUUUACAUAAGAUAUGUACAAAUAGUCCAAGACACACUCGAAAAUUGCAACUAAGUUCAAUUGUAAAUGAAGAACAACUCACCUGAUUAACAAUCCUUGGCUUAUUCCGACAAUCCCCGACCCAUCACAAGCUGAUUGAUCAAAGCCGCCUUGGCGAAGAUCCUCAUCCUCUCUGUAAGAUGAUCGAUUCACAACUUGUACCCCAUGGAGCCCUUCUAAAACUCUGGGCAUUGAUGCAUCUUUGAUGCCCAUUUAUACACUCGAUGGCAAGCAACCCAAUCUAAUUUCUUAUUGGCUGGUUGUCUCAUACGGCAGUUAGAUUAUCUGCACAUGCACAAAGAAAACGACACAAAAGGUUUGGUACAAAUAACAUGUGCAAUAGUCACUCUCUGAAAACUUCAAAAUCGACUUUAGGAAGCAAAAAUCGAUCACCAGCGAGAACAGUUCAAGUUCGUCUAUGCCCCACUCAAUGUGGCGUGCAAUCACAUUAUAUAGCCCUUAGGCGGAUACAUCUGUAAUUGACUCAGGAUCAUUCUUAACAGGUGUUGGUUGGCACUCAACACGCCACUUUUUUUAUCCAGGAAUAUUAGAUGCGCAGAUUAAAUCUGUUUCGUUUUUACUUAAUAAAUAGUGAACUCCAGUUUCAUAAUGUAUAAUUAGCGAAAUUCCAAUUUUGGUCCUCUUCUGGUUGAGUAAGGCUCUAACUAAGUAACCUAAGAUUUUCAAGCCCAAAUAACCAGAUAAAAUAUCACUAUCCUUGUCCUUAAAGAUGCAAGCACAUGUUCCUACUUUUGAUGAGAACUAUUGUCGAAGAGUAAAAUCCAGCAUAAACAUAAUGGAAUUAGGCUCUACGGAAUCGAUUCAAGCUGAAAUAGUCACAAUGCCAGAGAAGCACCAAAAUUGUCGGAUAAUUUUGCCCUUAGAUUUGCACAAGAUUCAAUAAAAGAGCAAAAAAUUACUAAAGAUAAUAGGAAAAAAAAAAAAGCCUGAAAUUGAUACAUACAAUCAACAUUAAUCAGGAGAACUCAAAACCCUUGCUCUAUGAAAUCAAAUCCAAUCCCCCGAAAAAUAAGAAUUUUCUUACGAUUCUUUAUACUUAAAAAGAAAUCAUAAUCAUAAUCAUAAAAUAAGAGAAGUAAAAAAAAAAAAAAAAAAAAAAAAAAACCUGAAGAGGAGGGCGGAGAAGCAGCUUAUCGUCACCGCGCGGCUUCGGCUUUUUCUCGCAGCGAAAACAUAGGUUAAUUUGUUAAAAUAGAACAUUUUCUUUAUAGAACGAAGUUUAUAAUAAAAUUAGUAUCUUAUUUUGAAGUAACUUUUUUUUUCUUCACAUCAAGAAAACGUCUAUCUGUUAAUUUAAAGGAUUCAAAAUACGGAAGAAAGAAUUUGAAGCAAACUCUAACGCAGUGCACGCCACUCUUUCAUACUAACUUUUUAUAAAACUAACAUAAAACAUGCAUUAUAACGCAAGAUAUAUAACACUACUCGGCCAAUAUUAUAUAAAAAAUGCCGAGAUAGCCUCUUGCAUUUUCAUAUAGGGAUAUAUAUAAAAAAAGAUUGAAAUAAAAUAGAUUAUCGCAGUUUAUUUGGAGUUAUGGUUUGAUUUGUAAAGGAAAAAAAAAAGGUCGAAAUAAUAGAGAGCCGAUAUUUUUAGCACCCUGUAAGAGCUCUAAUGCGAUGCGAAGCAGUCCAGACUAUAACCAAAUUGGUUGGUGUUGUGCGGUGCAAUAUUAGUCUAAAUCUCUGGCGUAUCCUGAGUGUGUCGGCCCAACGCAACCGUGAAGUAUGCCCCGCUUAGUUUAGGGGAGGAGACGGCUUAGGCGUCUCUCUCUCCCUCCCUUUGCAGCUUCGCUAUCUCAUCGCCCUCCCUUAACCCCUUAUAGGCAUAUUAAGGGGGCGCAUUCUAGGAAAGCCUUAGGCGUAGCAAAGAGGCUAAGGGAGGGGGGGGAGAGAGAGAAAUAUAUAUGAGCAGGGGGUGCGUAGGGGCNAUAAAAUUGUUUAAUUGGAUACUAAUAAUAUUUUGUAUAUAUAUACAUAAAAGUAUGGAGAAUUUUAUAAUUAGAUGUUAAAAGUGAUGUAUGAUUCAUUUAUUUCAGAUUGCAUAAAAAAUUAAAAAUACCGAUAAAAUGGUGGGUCAUUUACUGCUUAUCACAAGGGUUAAGAUCGACCAAAUAUAAAAAUUUAAUGAUAAUUACAAAAAAAAAAAGCCUAUUUAAAUACACAUGCAAAUAGUCAGUGGAUAUAUCAAAUAUAAAUAUAUAGAUAAAUCUGUUUGGAAGAUCAUAUUCAGGUUCAUGGCAGUUAGUUACAUUCUUAUUGAUGUACAUGCCGGGUGAACACAAACCAAUUUUUAAAUUAAUACUCCUAUAAUUUGAAAUUGUGUAGAUUGCAUAUUUGUGUAAACGCAUACUAAUCGUAUUCCCCAUGAGAGUGCGCUGAGAAAAGAUACUUGACAUUAUAAUUUUUUAAAUUUUAUAUAUAUAGUUCGACUACUACAUUCUUAUGAGUAUAGGUACUUCUUUGUUGUUGAAGCAUAAAAAAAAAAGGGGGAAGAAGAAGAAAAAAAGGAGCAAGAAAAAAGAUAGAAAGAGAGAAAAUUUGAAUAAUGGUGUAUGAGAUGAUCCAUACACUACGCAUGGAAAAAUUCGAGUUUAAAUUUUGAGUCUGGUGCAUAGGUUAAUCCAUGCACCAGGUGCAUAGAUUAUAAAAAGUGGGAUGUCCUCGUAGGCAUGAAUGGAUAUUACAAAUAGCAAAUUAGUCCUUUCCCUUUCAUAUGCUCCUUCAAACAUAUAAUAUUCUGUUAUUUUAACUAAGAUAUAAUAUAAACAAAUGGGAAUGACUAAUAUGUAAUUUAAUACCUAUGAUCCCAUAAUCCUACAUCGUAACUUCCCACAAACCUCACCAUAUGCACUUCCAUACGCACAUUCUCCCGGGUAGUUAGACUAGACCCAUAAAUAUCUCUCAAUGAGAAAAGAAAAAGAGGACACAGAUUUGAACCUUCAAACAUAUUCCUAAACAAAAAAAUCCAUCCCAUCCCCCUGUUCACGAAAGAGAAAAAGAAAGGUAUAAUAUUUUUUUCUUCACCAUUAAUGCCACAAUCAAAGCUCUCUCUCUCCCUCCUAAAAAGUAAAAAAAAAAUAAAAAAUAAAAGAAAAAGAAAAGAGGGGCCCUCUGUAUGUCCACCCUCAUCAAGCCCCUCCUUCCCGCUCCGCCCACUCCCCCAAGCUCCUCCGCGGCCUCCGCGACUGCAUCGACUCCGACGUCGCCGCGAUCCUCCGCACCGCCCACUCCAUCAAGGCGCAGCUCGAAGCCCUCGACGACUCCAACGCCGCGAACCGUGCCCUCUCCCCGCGCUUCGCCGCGGGGAUCUCCGUCGACCGCACCAGGAUUUCGGUUACCCACGGGAUCAGGGCGAAGCUUCGCGACGCCAUGAUCGGGUUCCAGAAGCUCAGGAAGACGAUCCUCUCCGACCACAAGGAGACCCUGAAGCAAAACUACUACAACGCCACGGGAAAGCUCGCCUCCGACAAGGUGCUCGACGAAAUGCUCAAGUGGAGCGGCGACCCCAUGGAUCCGCGGUGGCCGUGGUCACCAUCAACCGCCCGGGCGCGCUCAACUCGCUCACGCGCCCCAUGAUGGUCGCGCUCGCAGGCGCGUUCCGCCGCCUCGACGCCGACGCCGGGCGCGGCCGCGCCUUCUGCUCCGGCGUCGACCUCACCGCCGCCGAGGAUGUCUUCAAGGGCGACGUCAAGGACCCCGCCGCCGACCCCGUCGCCGCCAUGGCCGUGUGCCGCAAGCCCAUCGUCGGCUCCAUCGCCGGAUUCGCCGUCACCGCCGGGUUCGAGAUCGCCCUCGCCUGCGACUUGCUCGUCGCGGGCGGCGACGCCAAGUUGGUCGACACCUCGCCAACCCCUGCGCUGCCAAAGCCGUCCGAUCCUCACCGAUCCUGCGCUGCCGAAGCCGCCCGAUCCUCGCCGAUCCUGCGCCGCCGAGGCCGCCUGCUCCUCGCCGACCCCUGCGCCGCCGAAGCCGCCUGCUCUUUCGCCGAGCGCCUCGUCGCCUUCGCCUGCGUCGAGGGCUUCUUCUCCGGCUCCUGCUGAGCCAUCUUCUGGCUCAAGAAGCGUGGCCUCAUGCCCGGGCUCACCUUCUCCAACGAGCUCAUCUCCCGCGACGAGGGCCUCCACUGCGACUUCGCUUGCCUCCUCUACUCCCUCCCAGGGCUGGCAAACGAGCGAGCCGGCUCGCGUUCGACUCGUGUUCGGGUCGAUAUUCGACUCGCUCGAGCUCGACUCGAAAUUGAAUGAGCCGAGCUUGAACAAAAUAAAAGGCUCGAAAUUCAUUUCAAGCCGAGCUUGAGUAUUACUCGGCUCGUUCGAAUUAGGCUCGAAAAGCUCGAAAAGCUCGAAUAUAUAUAUAUAUAUAUAUAUAUAUAUGUAGUAUAUAUAGAGUAAUGUAUAUAGAUAUAUAUAUUAUUUAUAUAAGGUAAAUACUAUCUAUAUAGUGCAGCUAUGGUGCUUGUACAAGCACCAAGCACUUGGUGCUUGUAAGUUUUGUACCGUUAGAUCUACUCCUUUGAUUAUUUCCAACCAUUAGAUUAUACUAUUCAACCAAUCAUUCCACUCAACCCUAGGGGGCCCACAUCAUCCUAAUUGCAUAUCUCUUAAUUCAAUGGCUAAAAAUUUACAAGCACCAAUAACUUGAUACUUUUAAAAGUAUCAAAGCUCAAUUCUCUCUCUCUCUCUCUCUCUCUCUCUCUCUCUCUCUAUAUAUAUAUAUAUAUAUAUAUAAUGUAUUUUAAUUAUAUAUAGGCUUUAAUUUAAUUUGGACUAUUAUUGUUUGCCCAUAAAAUAAACCCAACAAGUACAACCAUGCAAUUGAGCCCAACUCUAAAUUUACAUAACACACUCUCUCUUUCAGACUUUCACUAUUGCACAUAAUACUAAAACAUGAUAACAUUCAAAUUCUCAAAUCCCUAAUUUUUUUUCCCCUCUCUCUCUCUCUCCUUCUCCCUCAGACCCUCACCCAGUCAGGCAGUCACCCUAGCUCACAUUUCUUGCAAUUAUUUUGUAUUUUGAACUAUUGAACAUAUUGCAUCAAAUUGUAGGUAAUGUUAUAUAAAAAUUAAACUAUUGAUUAUAUAAUGUCGGGAAUUUCAAUAGGCUCGUUUAGAGCUCGAGCUCGGCUCGACUCGAAAUUAGGCUCGCUCGAGCUCGGCUCGAAUUAAUUUCAAGCCGAGCUUGAGCCUAGAUUUAGGCUCGAAAUUAAUUUCAAGCCGAAUUUGAGCUGACAUAAGCUCGCUCGAGCUCGGCUCGUUUCCACCCCUACUCCCUCCUUCGCUCCGCGGCGGCGCGCAACCCGCGCACGCUCGACGAGACCCUCAGCGCCGCCGACGCCGAUCCCUUCAACAGGAAGCUCUUUGUCCACGGCCUUGGGUGGGAAACCACCUCCGAGGGGCUCCGCGCCGCGUUCGCCCGAUACGGCGAGAUCGAGGAUUGCCGUGUUGGUUUCAUCCAAUUCCGUCACCGGAGCUCGGCGAGCCGCGCCCUCCGCGAACCCCAGAGGCUCAUCGACAACUGCAUGACCGCGGGCCAGCUCGCCUCCACCAAACUCACCCCCGCACUGAACCAACUCGUCACCGCUCACCAGGUGUUCGAUCUGUGGCCACAAUGAGCCAUGGCGUCGGUCCAGGCUGUGGCGCUCAAGGCGGAGCACGCGUAGGCGGUGGACGCGCUGCAGAAUGCGCCGCAAUUGGUGUGCGGCGGCAGGCGGCCUGUGGACGCCAACAGCGAGCUCUUGGCCGCCGGCACUUUCGUUGACACCUGCCAGGACUCGUUCGACGAGUUCCUAGACGUCGACGGUUCGCACCUCGCAAACGUGCAGCAGGCUCGCCAAUAACAACAUCAGCCUCGCCGCUUACAAGGCCGCCUAGGAUGUUGCUAUGACGGAGUUGGCGCCAACGAAUCAUGCCUACCAAUUGUUUGACGAAAUGCCCAUGACACAUCUUUCGACGGCGAAUCCAAUCUGUACAUAAAGAGAGAGAGCGGUGCUCUUCUCUUUAUAAAAAAAUGUGUUAUUAAAAGAGAAAGAGCGGUGUUCUUCUCUUUAUAAACAAUAUAGCAUCAUCGAAAGAGAGAGAAAGCGGUGCUCUUCUCUUUGCAAAACAAAAAAAUAUUAUCAAAAGAGAGAAAGAGAUUACUUCUCUAAUUAUGAAGGAGAGAGGGAGCUUUGUUACAAAAAGAGAGGCGAUGAAGAGAUUUUCCCACCUUAGUUGUCCCAUGAAUGUAAAAGAGACAAAAGAAGAUCUAUCUUUGUUGUCUUAUAUUUUCAAAGGAGAUAAAGAGAAAAAAUGUGUUCUCUUAAUUCUCCUACAAUGAAGAGACAAAAGAAAAUUAGUCGGAUUACCGAUUAAUAUUCUUUUGAUCGUCCUUUUAUUGGAAGAACAAUGUAAUGUUCGAAAAUAAUCGAACUCUUUGAUUCUAUCCAAAGUUGAAUCUUUCGAUUUGGUCGAAUUAGACCAAAUUGAGAUUUAAUCGCAUUAGACAUUUUAUGUGAUUCACGACUGAGAAUUUGACAAAUAAAAAAAUGCAUUCGAAAUUUUUAAGCUAUGAAUUUGAUUCUGAAUCUUACAAUCUCAUAUGAUCCCAAAUUAACCACCUCAAAACAAUGGACCAAGCCCGUUCUCACCUCAAAUCUCAUAACCCAAGCUCAACAUGACCCAAGUUCAGCCCAAACAUAAAUUUGGGCCCAAUUCUAUGACUUGCUUAAAAGAAAAUUUGGACUUAUGCCAUACGGGCCUAAAUUGAGCCCAAGCCCACAUGUAAUUCAAACCUCCACCUGAAUCCAUAUUAAACGGGCCUAAACUGGGCCUAUGCCUAUAUCCAGAACUUAAAAUUUAAUUCAGGCCUCAACUUGAGUCCAUACCAUAUAGGCCUGGAUCUAGUCCAUGUUGGAAUGCAACUAUAUGGACCCAAAUUUGGACCAUGAAUGAAUCCAUCCGAGAGUUGAACCAUAACUUGAAGCUAUACCUAGCCCAAGUUUGAAUUCCAAACUGGUUCAUAAAAAUGGCUAAAUCGAAUAAAAUCUAAAUUGAAAACCAAUUCAGACCAACAUCAAACCCAAAAAUCUAACCCAAACCAAGACCUUAAAUCAUGCCUAUCAGAUCAAAUAUGAAACCAAACUCUACCAAUUUGUUAAGGGCAAAUCUUUUUAAUCCAAUUCUCUAGCAUAUUAAGCUAGAGUCAUAUUGUUAUCACAUUCAUAUUAGAUCAAAUUCUAAAAUAUUUGUUUAGAAUUGAUCAAACCAUCUAUUAGGUUUCACCUAAUCAGUUCAAUUGAACUCUAAUACACUUACUUAGAGUUCAAAUAAAUGAAAUUGAAUUAGACUCUAAUACAUACACUUAGAGUUUAAUUUAAAUUACAUUUGACUAAUCCUAAUAUAUAUAACCAGGAUUUAGUUGAUAUUUUACCUCAUGGUGAACCCAAAUUAGUCUCUAAUACAUACACUUAGAGUUUAAUUUAAGUUAAGUUAUAUUUUGACUAAUCCUAACAUAUAUAACUAGGAUUUAAUUGAUAUUUCAUCUCAUGGUGAACCCAAAUUAGACUCUAAUACAUACACUUAGAGUUUAAUUUAAAUCAAAUUUUGACUAAUCCGAUUUAGUUAAUAUUUCACCUUAUGGUGAACUCAAUGUGAGGUGUAAUUAAGCUCAAACAUAUAAGCAUAGAGCUUAAUUACAUUAGACUCUAAGAUAUAAAAUUAGAGUCUAAUUCGAAAUAUUUGGACUAAUUCUAACACAUACAUUUAGGAUGAAAGCUUAAAUCAAUUUAAUCAAAUCAAACUCUAAUGCACCUAACUAGGGUUUAAUUUGAAUCAAAUCCGAUUAAGUCCCAAUGCAUAUACAUGAAAUUUAAUCAAUCCCUCACCUAUGGUGAACAAUAUUGUUGAGCACUGAAACAUAUAGAGCCCAAUCAAAUCAAUUUGAUCAUACACUUUGAUUCAGAAUCAAGUUCAAUCAACCGUCAUAUUCAUUCAUGUACAUUGGGGGUAUGCCCCUGGUUAAGCCAUGUAACUAUACAAUGGAUUAUGUUAUAAAAUCCACCUUUUAUUCAAUUUCAGUCUAUUUCAGCAUUACAGAGGUCUCUUAAUCGAAGGUGUCCUAACACUUUGAAGGGAUAAUUAACAAUAAACGCUUGCGUUUAUUGGAAGCCAUGAAUCCACAAUACCUGAUAACCAUAUAUAAUUAAAUCUUAAUCUGAAUCAUGAAUACUACCCCAUGGGAAUUUGAAAAUAAGAUUAACCGUGCAAGGUGUGUCAUUCGUGGUCGCAGACAUUUGUAUUCAUAAGUUUUCAGUCGUUAGAUUUACCUUUUUGACCAUUUUCAUCCGUUAGAUUAUAAUAUUCAACAAACCACUCGCUCAACCCUAGGAGACCACUAUCAUCCUAACUGCACAUCCCUUCAUCCAACAGUUGAAGACUUAUGAGCACAAAGUAAAUUAUACUUAUAAGAGUAUAGUAGCCCUACUUUCUCUCUCUCUCUCUUUAUAUAUAUAUAUAUAUAUAAAUCUAAACAUAUGAUUCCGAUACAAAUUCAAACCUCUCCUCUCUGAAGUUAAAGGAAACACAAUAUGGAGUAUUGGAGUGGAGUAGGGCUACCAUUAUUUCUUUUUCUUUUUUUUUUUUUGAGAGAUAGGUAGCACGCUAUCCGUUUCGUUUAUUUCAUUUAGAAAUAAACUUAGCUGGAAAUGUGAAUCAACUAGAAUUCGAACUUGGGACCUGGGGUACCAACCAUCAAACCCUUUUGCCACUUGCUCUAGGGACGGUCGGUGGCUACCGUUAUUUCAAGUGAAAAACAAUUGGUAGGUGUAUUAGCUUAACACAAAAGCUAGUACUACAAUUUUUUUCUUGAACAUAUAUAAUUAGUAUAAUGAACUGUAUCGCUGUACUAAUCUUAUUUUUCUAAUCCUACUUUUCUUUGUGUGAGAUCUUUUUAGUUACUAUUUUUGUAGUUGCCCAACGCACGAUUUGAAGUUCUUUCACCAAUUUGUUAGCAUUGUACACAGCAACCACUAAGCCAAACCUCUAGGUGGGGUGGGUGAAAGAGAACUAACCUCUAUAGUGCGCACUUUGGCUUGGAAAUUAACAUUUCUUUGGAAAUUAGCACGACCACUUUCCUUUGCAAUGUUGUUUUACUUCCCUUUUUGGUAAAAAUCUGAUCUUAUCCCUCAUAUUUGUAAGUUCUUCUUUUAGGCACAUCUUCUUUUAGCUUGUUACAGUGUAAAAACUCAAUUUAGAUCAAUACUAACUUUAACAGAAGAAAAAAAAUGAAUUGUUUGGAGAAUGAUUUAGUGAAUGAAGGAAGCUAUUAAUUUAGACACUUAAGUUGGGGUUGAAACUUGAAAUACAGAAUUAGUAAUUGGAAAAUCCUUUUAUUCCAUAGUUUUAUUUUAUGCAACAAUAUUCUACUUGUAUGUAUCGCAAUCUAAUAGGACUUAAAGGCCCAAUAUUAAUUCUACACGCAAGUAGAGUGGUAUGACAUGCACUAUCUAUUUUUGUGAUGAAAAAGAGAUUCUAAGGACUUCAAUAUGCUGUUAUAUGUACUAGAAUCAAUAAGAGAGAAACACUCGAAAAGUACUUCUAUAUCUUUUCCUUCACGUACUACAACAGAAAACAAAAUAAAUAAACAAGACGAGUCUCGCAUCCAUCUGAAUUACGACACAAUUUAAUUAAAACACCAUCAGAAAUUUAACAAAAUAAAUAAACAAGACGAGUCUCGCAUCCAUCUGAAUUACGACACAAUUUAAUUAAAACACCAUCAGAAAUUUAUCACGUAAUCGUAUUACUGGAUCGCCUAGUUUUAUGUUAUUGUGGAGGUUUGGAUGGUAGUCUCAAAUUGUGCUUAUGUUGAGUAGAUCUAAAACUUUUUUUCUCCAGGCGCGCGGUACAUAGUCUUUUACUGUCCCUUGUCCUUCACUGAAAAUUAAAAAUUUCAAGUGAUAACUAGCUUGAAAUGAUCAAAUAAUAUUGCUACUUAUCCAACUUCAAAAUCAAAUGUGAGUAAAAAAUUGGUGAGCAGAAAUUAUGGUUUCUUUAGACUGUAUGUAGAGCCAUUAUUAUACAAUGUGUACGUAGGGAAAAACUUUGAAACAGUACUCAUAAAGAAUUCUUUUGAUAUACUGAUAACACUCUGAAUGCUAUCAAUAAACUAUCAAAAAAAAAAUGUAUAUUGUGAAUAGCAAUACAUAAACAACGGACAAAAACAAGUUAAAAAAACUAUUUUAAUUUAUCUAUCUAUAAUAUUGUUUUCACAAUUUAGAUUGGGCUUAAGUACACCCCACUACGCUGUAUUUUUGUUUUAUCUGCUAUAUUGUACUAUACUAUUCUUUUAAAAGAUACCAUCAUUCUAUCAUUUUUUAUCAAUUUCUACAGUAUAUUUUAGAGUUAUUGUGGUAUUCUAUUUUAUACUCGUAUUCUCAUAGAUCUCAUUAAGUUAUCUUUAGGGAAAACUUCAAAAACCCCCCCUGUGGUUUCGUGCAUUCUCACUUUGCUACCCUGUGGUUUAAAAUGUAUCAAUUUACCCCCCUGUGGUUUCAUUUUUAUCUUUUCGGAAGCUUUUUCGUUAAUAUUUCGUUAAAUUAUAUACAAAAAACUUCAGAUAACCAUCUAUAUUUAUCAAAUAGUCACUUUAGUAUCCUUUAAUUUUAACUUUGUCACUGAUUUUAAAAAAAAAUAAUAAUAAAAUUGAUAACAAAAAGAUAAAAACGAAAUCACAGGGGGGCAAAUUGAUACGUUUUAAACCACAGGGUAGCAAAGUGAGAAUGCACGAAACCACAGGGGGGGUUUUUGAAGUUUUCCCUUAUCUUUAUUUCGGCAAUCUAUAUAUAUGUCUUACUAUAUAUUAAUAAAUUAAUUAUAUUAGACAAAUUAUAAGAAGUUUAUUAAAAAGCAAAAGUUUGAUCCCAAGAAAAAUACAAAAUAAUAAAUCUUCAACAUAAAUUCAUUAAAAUUUUCGAUAGAUCUGUUUUAACCCAAUUCUUCCUUUUCUUUUGCGUUUUUUCAUUUUUUUCUGUUAAAUUCGAUUAAAUAUAUACUUGACUAUUUUGAAUCAGUACUUUUUCAGUAAAACUAUUCAAUUUUAUCUAAAAUAAUUUAAUAAUAUAUUUUUCUAAAAUAAUAGUACAAUAUAUGUAGCUAGGUUAGUGCAACUAAGGAGUUUAGAAUCUUAGAUUGCACCUCUUGUAAAAUCAUGCAGUUGGCGCAACACCGCUGCGAAAAGCAGUAGAGACUAGAGAAUGUGAGGGGACUAGAGCACGCACGUCAUGAUGGCGUGCUGAUGACAUCAAUUGUCCGGUCCCACCCCCCACCCCUCCUCCUCUCGGUGGUGGAUGCUGGUGGUGGCAUCAUUUCUCCCUCUCUCUCUCUCUCUCUCUCUCUCUCUCUCUCUCUCUCUCUCUCUCUCUCUCUCUCUCACACACACACACACACUCUCUUUGUUUCUACAGGACCAAGCCUAGAACGAGAAAAGAUUAAACAAAGGGGCGUCCGAAACCCUAGCGCGUUUCCAACCCAACCAUCAUAUUUAAGAGGGGGAGAGAGAGAGAGAGAUGGGAUAAAUGCAUAGGGAGAUAGUAAGGAGUAUAUAGUGCGCAGCAGGACACAAUCAUUUGGUCGUUUCUGGGGAGGGGAGGAAGGAGAGAGAGGAGGCGUGGAACUGCAAAAAGCUAAUCACCAACGCAGGCGCAGGGGACAAAACGUGGUUCUUCAACCAGGUGGACCUUUUUAUACCCUCCCCCUUAAUCAAUUUAUUAAUGUCUUACUUUUAAAAUAUAUAUAUACAUACUCUGUACCCUUUAUUAUUGACCCCUCAUCAGCCCUGGUCGGCUCCACUACUGUUACAAAGAAAACCCCAUUUUUCUAAUAAAACAAUAAUAUAAUAAUAAUAAUAAUAAAGUUAUAGCGCAAAAGGAGCUCGUAGUGCCGUACACGAGCUUCCCCUCCUCCUAUGUGUGUACAUGUGUGCUCGCGCUGAGGCUUCCGCACCUUCCUCGUCGAGCACUUAACCAAGGUCCAAGCAAAAAAAAGAAAAAAAAAAAAACACACACACACACACACACACAACACAAAAAGCGAAGGUAAAAGAAGCGAGAAAGGCUUAAAAGGAGACCGACCAUUGACUGGAAAAGCUAACGAAGAAGAUAGAGAUCGAGAUCGAGAAAGAGAGAAGCAGCAGCAGCAGAAGUGGGAAGGGAGAGAGGGAGGGAGGGAGAGAGGGAGGGAGGGAGGGAGAGAGGGAGAAAGAAGCACAAACUUUGCUAUGUGGGAAGAUAGAGUUCACGGUCUCCACUACACCGCCACGAACACUUCUUCUACUAGUACUACUACUGGUGCGACGAUACUCGGAGGCGACACCGCAACCGGUCUCUUACACAACCCCACCACUAUUCUCCCAUGGGCGGUAAACCCUAGCGCCUACUCUCUUCCUUAUCAUGCUCCCUUCAACGGCGACUUUUACCAGCCCGAGAGGAAUUUUCCGGCGUUGGGCGCGUCGACGGAUCAAGCAGAUCUGUCGGGCCUGCACAUCGGCUCGUCGACGGAGAGACUCCUGCACGGGAAAGCAGGGGGGUUGGCGUCGACGAUGUCGAUCUUCGGGAGCCUCCACGCGGAGUUCGGCAAGAUGAGCGCCAAGGAGAUCAUGGACGCCAAGGCGCUCGCCGCCUCCAAGAGUCACAGCGAGGCCGAGCGCAGGCGCCGCCAGCGCAUCAACGGCCAUCUCGCCAAGCUGCGCAGCUUGCUUCCUAACACCACCAAGGUGAGAUCAGUAACAAUAAUUAAUUCCUCCCAUUAAUCCACUAUAAUUAUUAUUAUUAUUAUCAUUAUUUCCGUCAUCUGUAAAUUAUCUGAAGUCGAUAUAUGCAUAUAUAUUCGGGGAUCUCACAUGGAUUUUACAUAUAUUCUAAAUUAAAGAUACGAACGAACGAGUGGUGCAAUCACUCUUUGGGCGUGUUUGUUUGUUUUUUCCUGAUCUUCCAGCAGGAAACUCGCUCUCUUGUCGGAGAUUGAACAUGAGGUGUGUUUGGAGGCGUAUGCUAUGUUUCCUACCAGCACCAAGUCAAAGAUCACACAUACAGGCGCUUAAUUCUAUCCUUCCACAAACUGAUGAUGAUUUUUCUUGGGCUGCGAGAAUUUAGAGAGAGAGAGAGAGAGAGAGAGGAGAAAAGAGAGGACAAAGAGGUGGAAAAGAGCCGCCGAGUUGAAUGUUGUUUGACGCUCAAAAGGGAAACCGGAGGAGCAGAAUUUGAACAGAUCAGCUUUUCGUGGGAGCUGCUUCUGCCGGAAAACUAAAAAAAAGCUCCUAAGAAAGACAAACACGCGCACCCCCUUCUUGUCAGAACCCAUUAUUAAAGCUGAACCGGAAAAAAAAACAAAAAAAACAAAAAAAAAAAAAACGGGCACCACCACUAGUCGCACGGUUCUGCAGCUUUUUUUUCCCCACGCCCAUAAUCCCCCGUCCAUAUCCACACUCCCUAACCGAACCUAUUAUUCCCAUUCAAUUGUUCGUUAUAUAUUUCAGAAACAAGUCUAUUAUGUAGAUCUAAUGGAUAAGAAUUAUAAGCUCUUAUGAAUCGCUGUUGAUUUGAUAUUAACAACAGCAGUCAUUUUAUUAUUAAAAAAAAUAAUACCAGUUGUAUUAGUAUGUCAAGAAUACAUAUCUAUGAUUCGAAUGAUGCAUAUUGAAUGGUGAAUCUGUUCAAUUUGAAUAUAUAUAUAUAAAAGUUUUUUUUUUUCUUUUUUAUUUCGUUAAUGCGGAACCAAUACAAUUCAAAUUGAGUUAUAAUUGUUUUGGUUCCUCUCUAUAUAUAAUGUGACAGACGGAUAAGGCGUCGCUGCUGGCGGAGGUGAUAGAGCACGUGAAGGAGCUGAAGCGGCAGACGACGGCGAUCACGGCGGAGGGCGGCACGCUGCUGCUGCCGACGGAGGCGGACGAGCUGACGGUCGACGCGGCAGGCAGCGACGAGGACGGGCGGCUGGUGGUGCGGGCGUCGCUGUGCUGCGACGACCGCUCCGACCUCAUCCCCGACCUCGCGCGGGCCCUCAAGUCGCUCAAGCUCCGCGCCCGCCGCGCCGAGAUCGCCACCCUCGGCGGCCGCGUCAAGAACGUCUUCAUCAUCACGGCCCACGACGACGCCUGCCAUAGCGACUGCGUCGCCUCCAUCCAAGAAACGCUUCGCGCCGUCAUGGACAAAAAAACUGCCACCAGCGACACGUCAUCGUCCAGCAGCGGAAUCAAGCGGCAGCGGACGAACCGCGUAGAUGAGCAACAAGGUUCUAUCUAAUUAACUAAUUUCUAUAUAUUCUCUUACCAUCUUGGGUACGUGCUUAAUUAGAUUUUUAUCUGCAUGGUGUUGGAGUGUUGUGGUGUAUGUGUGUGCGUGGGCGGUGCAUAUAUGUGUGCACUUUUAACAAGAGGGAGAAUUUUAUGUAUCCCUUUGUUGUUGGGUGGUUUGCAUGGGGAUGAGCUAGGAAGGGCUUUGAGUGGUGUUUCUAGGGACAAGGUUUGGGUUGUGAAAAAUAAGCGGAUCUGAUUAUAUCAAUGGGAGAAGAUAAGUUGGGUUUGUGGCUUUAAAUGAUAGAUUUAGUCGACUAAUCUCUAUGCAUCUCUAUGAUAACUAUAUAGGUCAAGCAUCUGCAUUGGUUUUAGGAGACCUAUAAACCUAAAAUCAUAAUAUAUCUCGCAUAUUUUUCUCUUGAAUUUAUGUUUAAUUUCGAUCUCGUGUGCGUUAGAGAUUUUAUGUUCAAUUUUAUGAUUUCUUUUGAUCAACUAUAUAUUAUUUAGCACUAAUGUAUGUCGAAUACACAAUUUUAAAACAUCUGUCUCUGGUUGUUUAAUUACUUUAAAAUUCAGUUAUUUCAAUUUUCUAUAUUUAAAUCAAGUUCAUUUGUAUAUGUUUUGAAAAAAUGUCAGGCCAUUUAGUGUCGAGUCCUUUUAUGAGUUUUUUUUUUAAAAAAAAAUCAUGUAAUCAUGUGCCCAUUGGUACUUGGCUUGUUCAUUUUUGUAAAAAAAAUAGAGCAGGUUAAAUUUUUUCUUUCUCUUUCUCGAACAAAAAAUGUUGUGAAUAACACUGUAAUUUGGCUUUCCUUUCUUCUUUUUAUCUUUUUUUACAAGCAUUCAUUAAUUGGAGCCUUUGGACUAUGUUAGAAUUAUAGUUUUUUUGUUUUUUUUGGGUAAAUGUGUUCUACUGCUUGUCUAAUUAUUACAUCUUAGUUGUCUAUGUAUAUCCUGAUACAUAUAUGUUUCUUGGACUCGGAAAUAUUAUAGAAACAAUAUAUUUGACCUUUGCAUGAAGAACACGAGCCAUAUUUUAUAUUGUUACUUUACCGUUCUUCGUGUUUAGUUUCCACCCCUUCAUGACCAUAUCAGAAGCAAAGGUUCUUCACUAGUGAUAGCAUGUAAUUUUUAGUGAUAAAUUACUUUAAGAGUUUGUCGGCGAAACUUUCCUUUUUAUUGGUGCUUUAUACAAUUAUCUUUUGUUUUUCUUUUACAAUACUCUCUGGGAGGGGGGUUUCUCUUUCCAGUUUUCGUUCAAAAAAAUUUAUCUGCUUUUGCCACAUUAGUGUGCAAAAAUAUUCAAAUGGGGAAUAUGCAUGUUUCAUAUUAAGAGUAAUGCUUCUAUACUUUUUUUUUUUUCCUUACCGUUCAAUCACUCCCACUCAACGGUACAGAUUUAAUUUUCUUAAAAUUGUGACCUACAAUAACAGGUCAUUUUAGGAAUGGUACCGGUCACCAGGUACCUCAAAAAAGGAUAUUUUUGUCUUUUAAUACAUGAGCAAUUUAGUCAUUUUAUCUCUAUUAUAUUAUUAAAAUUUUAUUCUCUCUUUAUUUCUUUUUUCUUUCUCUAUCUUUCCUCUCAUAUUUGGUAUUUCAUAUAAGAAAAUUUUCAAAUUAUUUGACAACAAGAAUAUGAGAUUAUUUUGUGAACCAACUAUGGAUUUUUUUCUCUAUACAUCUUGAAUCCAACCCGAAUCAUAUAUAAAGUUUAAUAUUAUAUUCGAAUUUAUAUUUUAAAAUUUUAAAUUUAAUAUAAAAUAUUUUGAAAUAUGGUAAAAAGAAAUAAUUGUUUCGGGUUCCAGUCUUUCGGUUUGGAUUUGGUUUUGGGUUUAAAAAAAUUGUUUAGUUUCGGGUUUAGAUAUGGAUUUUUGAAAUCCAUCGAGUUUAGAAAUAGAUUUUGUGAUUGUUAAUCAAAUUCGAAUUCAAAUUUCUAACCUUUUUUUUUCUGAAUAGUAAUCCUAAUCUUUUUAAUUUUUAUGUUUAAACUAAAUUCGUAAAUUUCUAAACUAAAUUUGUAAAUUAAUGCCUAAUUAAUGCCUAAAUUAGGGUAAUCAAUUAAUUUCCUAAAUUAGUGCAAAUUAAUGUAUAAAUUUAGGAUAUCAAUUAAAAGUUUCUUUAAAUGAUGUAUAGUUUAAUUACCGAAAUAACCUCGAAUGAUGUAACCCAUUUACCUGCUAAAUAUUAAAAUUACACCUUUACCCUCUAUUAAUCAACGGUUAAGUUUUAUUUUAUUUUUUUAAUAAUAAAGUACCGAAUCAUUUCUCUCAUAUUAAAAUUAC